rnacentral:lncRNA from 1 species
ACCGGAAACUGCUGCCCUCUAUGUAUGCCUUUUUUUAAUAUCAACGCAACAUUAUUUUUAUUCAUGAAAUAUAUUACUAAGAAAGAGUGUAUGGUGCAUGAUGAUAUCAUUACGAUUAGUUUCGAGUUUCGUCCUCAGUUUCCACGGCACCAUGACCACCGUGACCACGUCUACCGUGGUUGUGACCACCUCCACCACCAUUGUAACCCUCUCCGCCAUGGUUGUAAACAUGUCCACCUUUUUCAUGAACAUCACCAUCACCGUUGUUAGAAUCAUCACCGUUGUUAGAAUCACCACCGUUGUUAGAACCACCAACAUAGCCUCCAUCUUUGCCAUAAUUUAAGUCAGUCUGUUCAACACUAUCUGAAAAAACAAUAUAUAUUAAUCAUUAUAUCAUUAGAUAAUUAAAAAGGUUUGCUAAAUUAGAUAUAAAAAAAAUAUGGUCCAAGUUAGCAAAUAUGCACAUUUUUAUUUGGACAAAAAUAUCCUUCAUUUUUAUUAUUAAAAACUAAUAGUUUGAGGGUUACUUUAAUAUUUUUAUUUAAAACAUAUUUGUUACCCGACACCAAUUGCUAACUUAGACCCACUUUUAUUUUAUUACAAAUAAAUUAAGGGUCACUUUAGUACUUUUCAUUAAAACAUAUAUUUGUUAACUUGCAUCAAUUUGCUAACUUAGACCCACCUUUAUUUUAUAACAAAUAGCUUGAAGGAUAUUUAAUAUACUAUCACUUACAUUAAUUUAGUUUACACUAGUGGAUAUUUGCUAACUUGGAUCAAAUUGCACCGAUGUGAUAUAAUAUUUGAAUAAUUUACACUGCUUAAAAACUUCUUAUUGAAUAUAGAAUUAUAGCAAAAAAAAAUUUAAUAAAGAAUUAUAGCAAAUUUUAUAAGACUCACAAUUGAAUAUAUAAUUAUAUCAUAUGGAUCAUCUCUGUAAGUUAUAUAUGAAGCAAAUUUGAAAUCGUUUUUUAUAUAACAUUGAAGUGCAUGAAGAUUAACGUUUACAUAGAAAUGAAUUAAUUAAAAUGUAUAAAAUACAUAAUUAAGUAUAAAAGAAUUAUCCUUUAAAAAAGUAGAAAUGAAUUAAAAACAUAUGUCUAAAACGCUCACCCCAAUUAGGAUCCGUGGAAGUUUCGGAUAUCACUGAGGAAAUAAGAACCAUAGCCAAGAGGCCUAGCAUAAGGAUUGCCUUUUUUGAAACCAUUGUUCAAUAUCUGUUCAAAUUUGAUAUUUGGUAGUGAACGAUGAGAAAAGUAGCAAGAAGUGUGCUCUAUAUAUAAUGGAGGGAAGGAGUGAGAUGAUGUAGGGACAUUCACUUGCUAGUUGAGAAGGUAGCUAGUGUGUAAUAAUUCAUUGCUUUUUAGUUUCAUAAUGUACAUGGUCUAUAAUAUCGACCAGAUACAUCUUUUAUGCAAUUAAUCUAAAAAAUAAAAUUUUAUGUAUAAUAAUAAUCGGAUGAUGUAUAUAUUUAUAAAUUUUUAACUAAAAUAAUUGUUUGAUGAUUUUAAUAUCAUUUGUUUUGACUACUUCCUUUCUUUCAAAAUAAGUGAUCUAGUUGAUUGUUUUAAGCAAUUUAUAUAUGUAUAAACAAAAAAAUAUAUAAAAUUUGAUUUUUAAAAAUAUUUGUUGAAACAAAUCUAAAAAUAUCUUAUAUACUGAUAUUUCUCUUUAUAUGGUAGUAGAAAAAGAUUAUCAAAUAUAUUAUGUGAAUUGUGAAUAAUAGAGAAUCACUUAUUUCAUAAUAGAGAGAGUUGUAAAGACCAAAGGCUAUGAAAAAUUGAAAAUGGUGAUGAGGUAUGGCUACUUUCUAUUGGCUGAAAGUGACAUUUUGAAAGCAUACUAUUGGUUCAUACUAGCUAUCUCAUCCCAUGGAGAUACAUGCAUUCAACUUUAUCCAGACACAUUCAUAAUAUGUUUUCUAUAAGUAAUUUUAUUUUUUUUAGCAAAAGAGUAUUACGGAGGUACACUCUAUACUUGAACAUUCACUUAUUAUAUGUUUUCUAUAAUAAUUAAUAAGUGAACUCUAACCAAUAAACUCUACUUGAACAAAAACAAAAAACAUUUUCCUUAAUCAUAUUAUCUCCAUCAAUCUCAUUUUAUUAUUCGCCACUUUGAAUAUACUAUAUACAGAUACACUAAUAUUAUAGCCAUUCUCUAAAGGCUAAUUAUUUCUAUUCUUUUGGUGUUUUUAAGUAAAUUAGCUUUCGUGCUAGUAGCAUUCCAUUUAGCAUGUAAGUAAUUAUACCGGUGUAUGAGAACAAUUUCGUUUUUGACACUAUGCAUAUCUUGCGGUAUUAUGCUUUAAAAAUUUGCUUACAAAAAAAUAUUAAUAGCUAAUAAUGAUAUUUAUUAAAACCGAUAUUCUACUUUUUUUUUCAUUUCUCAUGUAUUUUUUUUAAUUUUCGUGAAAUCAUCAAAAAAAUAUGCUUUAAUUUGUGGGACAAAAAGAGCACUAGAUGAAAAAUAGGUUUUUGCAGCGUCCAAAAGCCUCCUCAAAAAACCUCCCUGAAAUAGGUUCAAGUUCAACCAUCCCGCUUUUAAACCUCCUCAAGCGUUUGCAUUUUUUUUAUGUUUUCAUAAUUAGUGUGAAAAAUAUAAAAAUAAUAAAUUUAAUAAAAAUUAGAUAUAUUAAAACAAAAAUUGUAGUAAGAGAGAAUUAAAAAACAACUUAAAAAUAAAAAAUGGUAAAACAAAUAUUUUAUAGUAAUUUAAAAUUAAAUAUAGAUUAAAUUUAAAAAGGGUUAAAUAUGUUUUUAAUCUCUACAAUAUCACAGAAUUUCUAGUUUAGUUCCUACUCCCUCCGUCCUAAUUUAUAAACAAAAAACACAAAUUCACACUUAUUAAGAAAACAAAAACAUAGUAGUUUGAGAUAUAAUUUUUUGUGUUUUUAUUGGAAUAAGUUUCAUGGAAAAAAAAUUGUGUAGAUUAAAUUUUUUGUGCCUUUAGAUGAAAAAAAAAUAUUGGAUGAUGAUUAAAAUAAAUUAGUUAGAUGAGAUGAGAGAGAAUGAAUGAGCCAUAGGUCAGACUCCCCUAACCAAGAACAAUGCCCAAAAGAGACAAAGCCAUCAUAGACCCGUACCUAGCAUAAAGGACAUCCCACCACAUAAUCAGGCUCUCCAAAAUAAUCAUCCAACAUUACUUACAAGCAUACUUAUAAAAUUCAAAAGAGGAAAAAAUACAAAAUACUUAUAAAUAAAUUCUCAUGAAUAAAGAAAAAUGAAAAAUAUUAUAUAGUUCACCCGUUUUGGUAUUAGAGGAAGUCUCAGUUAAGACCCUCGCUGAAACCCUAGAGGAAAUAAGAACCAUAGCAAAUAGGCCUAGAAUGAGGAUUGCUUUUUUUUGAAUCCAUUGUACUCAAGAGUAUAAAUAAACUACACAAAUCGGUAUUACAAAAGGGAUAUUUGGUAGUGAACAAUAAAAGAGAAUGUGCUCUAUAUGUAGUGGAGGUUGGGAGAUCAAUACUUGGUAGUUGGGAAGGUGGAAUAGUGCUCUAUAUUAAUUCAUUCUUAUCUUCAAAUUCAGAACUGUUUGUUUGUUAGUAAUUUUGAAACCAUUCAUUUUGAGUAUUAAGAAUCGGAGGCUACUUAAUUCGUUGAAAAAAUGAAGCAGUUAUUGUCUAUGCCAAGCCUACUUAAUUCGUUGAAAAUAACAGUAUUGAAAGUAUUGAAAAUAACAGUAUUGAAAAUAACAGUAUCAACCACAUACAUCAUUAAAUAAAUAAACCUAAAAAAUGAAUUUUGUUUAUAUUUUGAUACGGAGUGAGUACUUUUAAUUUUGAAACCAUUCAUUUUGAUAUUUGAGUGGUGAAGGUACAUUCCGAAUAAACACUCUAAACUCUAAACUUUUUUAUAACUUCAACAAAUGAUCUAUCUAUCACUCAAAUUAAAUUUUUAAGGGGUUCUAAAUUGACUAGUUUAAGUGUGAAGAACAAGAAACAUAUGAAUAUGCAAACUAAAAUGCAACAACAUAUUGAACAAGACUUUAAGCUCGGACAUGAGUAAAAAAUACACAACUAAAGGGUUCAAACUCACAUAUUUACUAGGUUAUUGUGAAUUUGGACUCAAAUCUUAAAAAAAAAAAAAAAUAGAUGUGAAGAGCAUAUAUCAAUGACAACCAACAAUCAAACAUUCUCAAGUUACACAACAUAUUUAAAUAUGUGUAAAGUAAAGCCACAAUCAAAGCAUGGAAUAAAGAUAAAAGAGAAGAGAAAUCAACAUAGGAAUACUAUUGUUUACCCAAUUUGCAUUGGUCCAAGAAUGAGCCACAUUUUGGGGAGAGAAAAUAUCUUCAAUCCACUAUCAAUGAUUCAUUGGAAAGAGAUACAGAGAGUUACAUGAAAUUAACUUCAACAAGAUCUUCGAGAGCAAACUUAAUUUCUACUAUUUUUCUACGUACACUCUUCCCUUGAACAAGAGAGUUACCAAGUGACCAAAAAAUUUAGCUUCCAAUGUUUUCCAAAAACAUCCCCUAAGAGGAGAUUAGUUUAUGAAUACGUUAUUUAAUUAUUCCAAUGUUUAUGAAUACGUUAUUUAAUUAUUAACUCUUGAAAGGAAGUCUCAAGUCACAACAAUUCGGGCACACCAUUUCGAAAUACACAUAUUCAUAAAAAGAUAGAAAGAGAAAAUAAUUAAAUAACGUAUACUUUUAAAAUAAUUAAGUAUUUCUUUGUGUUCAGUAUACAUCUCAACCAACACCUAUUGAUUCUUGUAUAAAUAAAAAUGGUGUCUAAGCCUAUCGCACAACGGACCCCUCUCAAACUAAUCACCCAACCAAAAUAGUGUCUUAGCUCCAUUGUCCACCACCCUCACCAAAUUGUCCUAGUAUCCUCGCAACCCACCGUUCAUAUUAACUAUGAGUAGUGAUAUAUGUACAACUCUUUGGUACAACUUUCAUGACAACUUUGGUUUUCUCUCUUUUGAUUGGUCAAAAAUACUAGAGAGAGAAAAAGGAAGAGAGAUAAUAAGAAGAUAAUGUGAGUAUGUGAGAGAAAGUUGUCAAAAAAUUGUUAGAAAAUGGUUGUACAAAUAUCAUUUCUCAUUAACUAUUAUUCAUCAAACUACAUGUUAUUUCUAAGAAAAAAUAAAAAAAUUAGUUUUUAUAUAUAUCUUUUAUUUGGCCAAUUAGCCUAAUGAAUAAAAUUCCACCCUAUUAAAAUGAAAAAAUGGAGAAGGUAGGAAAUUCAACCCCUAUAUAUAUAAUAUAAUAUCCAUGCCAACUGAAUAUGAAAGUCUUUUGCCAAUAUAUAUAUAAAUUAAUAUUCAACUACCUAACAUGUAUGAUUUCUCGAUAAAACAAUAUAUUAACAAAAUAUUAUAGUUUAUUUCAUUUAUUCUUGAUGAUGAGAAAUCAAUAAUAACAUUUUUAUUUAUUUAUAGAGAUAAUAUAAUAUCUCUAAACUAACAUAUAACUUAUUAAUUCAUCUUAAAUUUUAACUUAAAAUACAAUUCAUCAAUCUCAUUAAUAUUAUAGCAUGAGUCAUUAUACUAGUUUUUUUUUUUUUUUUAGUAAAGGUCAUUAUUGUGUAACCAAAAAAUAAAAGAAAAUAUUCUAUAUUAAAAUUUCAGAGCUGCCGUUCCUGUCACAAUUAAUUAAUUUUUCUUUUUAUAUUUUGAUAAUUUCAGAACUCCUUAAGUUCAAAUUGACAGCGAUGAACGAUAAUGAAAGACGCCCACUUAUUUUGAAUUUUUCAUACAAAUGUGUGGCUAGACGUGGCCAUAUAAUUUGUAUUCAUGCGUACCCAUCCGAACCCCGUUUCGAAUAUGAUUUGGACAACUUGAAUUGGAGCUAGACUUGGUUAAACAUAACCAUAAAUCUUUUAUCUAGAUACACACUCAUUAAUAACAAAAAGUAAAGGAGGAAAAAAUAAAUUUUAUUAUUAUUGAAAUUAAUGAAUAAAGUGUCGUGACGGAUUCAGAAAUGUUGACUUGUGGAAACAAAACUUUAUAUAAUACUCCCUCCGGUCCUAUUUACAAGAGAAAUUUGACUUUUUAAAUACAUUGAAUAAUGUAUGUAUCUAGUCAAGAACCUAAUCCAAAUACAUAAAUUAUUUAAUGUAUCUAAAAAGUAAAUUGUUUCUUAUAAAUAGGACCAGAGGGAGUAAAUAUUUAAAGAAAAUUUUUAAUAAUGCAAAAGUGAUAUAAUAAUAACAUCAUUAUCAUUGAGAAAAAUGCUCAAUAUUUAGAAAAAUUAAAGACUCGUCAACAUCUACAAAUUAAAAUUGUUUUUACGUGUCUUUAUAUUCAAAAAAUAUGGUAGAAAUUAAAUUUCAUCUCAAAUGCAUUUACGCAUUCGAUUUUAUGAAAUUCAUGAACAAAACUUUUUUUUAUGGUAUAAAUUUUAAUUUAAUUGAGGCAAUCUAUUAUUUUAAGAGAGAGCAACCAUUAAAAUAUAAAAAAUUUAACAAAUAUAACCAGAAGAGUAGUGGGGGCAGUUUCCCCCAUACCACUCUACCUAGAAUCGUGGUUGAUGAUGUGAUUGUUAAUGUGGUGUGCCUAAAUGCAAAAUAUUUAUUUUUGUUAUCAAGUAAGUAUUGACUCGGUUCGUAUUUUUUACGAUUUCAAAAGACGGUUGUGGCCUCGCCCGUAUCAAAAUUAUAUUAUUACCUCUCUUAAAUUAUAAACUCAUAAACAAAUUCCUAAAUUACAUUCAUACAUUAACUUUUAUUUUUAAGCUCAACCUUAAACAAGUCAUUUCCUCUACUUUUUUUUUUUAGAAAACCAUAUUGUUGAAACAACAUAGUUUUGAGCUUUUUUACUUAUUCUUAAUAGAAAAAAAGAUCAAAUGCCACUUUUGAUCCUUUUAGUUUAACAGAAUUCUCAAGUUAGUCCUUUAAAUUUCGAAAGUUUCAAUUAGGUUCUUUUGGUUUGACAUAAUUCUCAAGUUAGUCCUUUAAGUUUCAAAUAGGUCCUUUUAGUUGAUAAAUUAUUUCACUGUUACCGCUGCUGUCAGUCUCUGUUUAACUAAUGUUAAUGUAGCUGUAAGUUGUUGACUUGAAUCGAAAUGCUGCCUUUUAAUAGCUCGAGGGUGCAUGUCUAAACGCUACGUUUAAUGGUCACAAAUGAUCAUUUAUAGUGCUAAUAAGACAGCUAUUUACAACAAUAAAUGUCUUUCUAGCACUAUUAAACGACAUUUAUAAUACUAGAAUGAUCAUUUGUGACGAUUAAACGUAAUGUUUUGACUCACCGGAGCUUUUAAAAGACAACGUUUUGAUUCAAGUCAACAACUUAACGGCUACAUCAGCAUCAGCUAAUUAUUAACUGACAUGAGGGGGGUAACGGUGAAAUAGUUUAUCAACUAAAAGGACCUAUUUGAAACUUUUGAAACUUAAAGGACUAACUUGAAAAUUAUGUCAAACUAAAAGGACCUAAUUGAAACUUUUGAAACGUAAAGGACUAACUUGAGAAUUAUGUCAAACUAAAAAGACCAAACGUCAUAUUUGGCCUACAAAAAGUACAAAAGUUCACGUGAGAGAAUCGAACAACCCAAAAUGUUUUGUGAACCCUAUUUCUUGAUGAAUCCACGUGAUACACAACUCAGCAAGCCAUCAGAGCAUGCCUCAACGGAGAAAAACGCCGAUAUCUGCAUGGAAACCAACCCCAAAAGGGGUUAUCUUCCAAAAACUACCAGCACAAGGUCAUAGGUGUUCUGGAAUGAGGAUAAUGCGUAGGGGCAGCGCCUCUCAUCGCACCACCGCGCUAGCCGCUACAUCUAAAAGGAACAAAUUUGAAUGAGGGGAAGGCGUUGGAGAGGUGGUCGUUCAAGAGAGAAGCGAGAGAGUACUUUUUGAGAGAGAUAAGGGAGCAUCCUCCUAUCUUCCUAAAGUUACAUGCAUUUCUUAAUUUUGUCUAACAUCCAAUUUACCCUCUAUACCGUAGAUUUUUUUAAAAUACUCCCUCCGGUCCUAUUUACAAGAUAAAGUUGAUUUUUUUGAUACAUUGAAUAAUGUAUGUAUCUAGUCAAGAACCUAAACUAAAUACAUAAAUUAUUUUAUGUAUCUAAAAAGUAAAUUGUCUCUUGUAAAUAGGUCCGAAGGGAGUAUUUACUUUUUUUUGAACAAAGUAAAAUGAGACAUAUAUUAUAAACAAUGGCGAUUUACCGUGCACAAGACAUGCAAAAGGUAAACCGACCAAUCAAAAUACAACAGUAGGGUGCUAAUUUAGAGUAACACCGUAAAAAAGUUACAAAAAAACUACACAAAAACACCCAUGCAGGGAAGUGGGUGUUUCCACCAGUCAUAAUAAGAAUAAAUAAAAGAUAUAUGCGAUGAUUUCAGCCACAUAAACGAGUUCAGCUUCACUUUUUCAGCUAAAGAAGAAGGAUCACAAACCGUUUCUUGGAACACACGGUUAUUUCUUUCCUUCCAAAUGACCCAAGCAGAAGCGAACCAUAUUACUUUCAGAUAAUAAUGAGUGGCUCUAGGAAAGCCGGCCAAAUUAGAAAAUUGUGUAAAAUGCCGCCGAAUAUCACCUGGAAACACCACAGAUAAACCUAACCAAUGCAAAAUAUGAUCCCAAAGCGUACUAAAAAUAUUACAGACACAAAACAAGUGAUUUGCGGUUUCAUAGGCACCACAACCUGACACACAAACCGAGUUAGCUAACAGAAGAACACGCCGAUGAACCAAGUUGUCUCUAGUGGGAAGUCUAUUCCGAAAAAGGCGCCACACAAAUAGUGACACCUUAGAGGGUAUGCUCUUAUGCCAAACAUCUUCAACCAGAGUCUUAUCCACCACAUUACCAUUAUCAGUGAGAAAACGAUAAGCUUCCCGUACCGUAUAACCACGGAUAGGAUCUAACAACCAAAUCCAAGAGUCAUGAACAUUAACCUGCAAAACGACAUUAGAAAGUAACAUAGAACAUUCCUUCACACUUUCCUCCUCCCACGCCAAAAGUCUCCGGCUCCACUCCCACCCCCACCUCCAACCUCCCAACCGUCCCUACUCAUGUCCUCCACCGUACACUCUUUGCGUAAAAACAAAUCAAAAAGACGGGGGAAUUUACAACAUAAAGGUGUAUCCCCCAACCAAUUAUCAUACCAAAAUAAAGUAUCCCUACCAUCUCCUACCCUCCUACGAAUGUUGUCAUCAAACCACCUCCCAACACCCUCACCUAACCCCUCCCUAAUCCUACACACUGACCGCCACCACGGAGAAUCGAGGUGUCCUCCCUCCUCCAACCGUCCCCCUAUCUCACCAUAGCGGGCUUUAAGUACUUUAUACCACAUCCCCUCCUUUUCAUUCAACAUCCUCCAACACCACUUCCGCACCAACGCCAAAUUAAAAGCUCCCAUCCUCCUCACCCCCAACCCUCCGUGCUCCUUUGGAGUACAAAUCGACUCCCAAUUUAUCCAAGCAAUUUUCCUAGAGUCCUCACCCCCACCCCAAAAAAAAAAUUAAAAAUAGAUUCAAUAGAGGAAAUUAUACCUGCGGGGGCUUUGAAAAAGGAAAGAAAGUAAACAGGAAUGGAAGACAGAACAGAUUUCAGAAGAACCAAGCGGCCGCCAAAAGAAAGGAAUUUAUUACUCCACAAGGACAGGCGCGAAACAAUUCGAUCGACAACAGGUUUCCAAAAACUAAGUUUCCUUGGAUCACCACCAAUAGACAACCCUAAAUAGACAAAAUGGAUAGUUCCCCUUCGACAAUUCAUAACCAACGCCGCUUCAGUCAACCACGAAUCCGAAACAUUCACACCCGUCAACAUGCUUUUAAGAAAAUUUACCUUCAACCCCGAAAUCUUUUCAAAUAAUAGCAAGACGGACCUCAUGGUUCUGACGUUCAACCAACUUUUCUCUCCAAUAAUAAGGGUGUCAUCCGCAAACUGCAAAUGAGUUAAAUAAACAUCACCUGAUCGACCAACUUUGUACCCUGAAAACAUAUUAGCAUCAACCACCGCUUUCAUCAACACAUUGAAACCUUCUGUAACCAACAAAAAAAGAAAAGGUGAUAAAGGAUCUCCUUGUCGAAGGCCCCUCUCAAUAGGAAACUCAUUCGCCGGGCUACCAUUAACCAAAACUGAUGUUGUUGCUGUCCCAACACAUUCAUGAAUCCACUUCCGCCAGAGUCUCGGAAAAUUCAUAUUCUCCAUUACCAUGUCCAGAUACCUCAGAUCAACUGAAUCAUACGCCUUUUCGAAGUCAACUUUAAACAACAACAGUUCUUUAUUCAUCCUCUUAGCUUCAUCCACCGCUUCGUUAGCUAUCAAAAUACUGUCAAGAAUCUGUUUCCCCUGAAUAAAAGCCGACUGUGACUCUGACACAACAUUACCCACUACUAAACGGAGACGAUUGGCGAGGACUUUAGCUAGCACCUUAUACAGACAGCCCACUANAGAGAUAGGCCGAAAAUCAUGGAGUCUUUGCGGACUAUUAACUUUUGGAAUUAAAGCUAUAAAAGUUGAGUUUAUACCUUUUGUAAGUUUCCCAUUCCGAUGGAAAUCUACCAAAAACCUCAUAAAGUCAUCUUGAAGCAAAUCCCAAAAUUGUUUGAUGAAACCAAAAUUGAUGCCAUCAGGCCCUGGGCUUUUGAAGCUAUCACAAUCCCACACCGCCUGUUUCACCUCCUCAACUGAAAAAGGUUUUGUCAAAUUCCCAACCUGAACACCAGUUAAUUUUCGAAAAAGAAGAUUCUCCACACCCCACCGAUUAGCCGCACUUGAUUUAAAGUGAGAAGAGAAAUGAUUAAAGACCGCAUUCCGAAUAGCUUGAACACAUUCCAAAUUAACCCCAUCGACAGACACACACCUAAUAGCAUUGUGACGCCGUUUAGCAGACAUAACUCCAUGAAUUUUUUUUGAAUUUGCAUCUCCUUCCUUCAACCACUGCAAUCGAGAAUUUUGCCAGUGUACACUAGUCUGAGUUCGAGCCAAAGAAUGGAGAUUCACAGAUAAAUCACGUAAUUCCAGCACCUCAUUUUCCUGAAGUUCCGACAACUCUGCCUUUGUAUCUAAAAUGGAUAAUUUAUUUUUUACCUCCGACUUCCUUCCAUCUAAAUUCUUAAUAUGCUAACACUUUAGGUGAAAAAAAAGAUUAUACUUUUAUGUUAAAAAAUAAUUUAAAAAUAUUUUUACAUUGUCAAUUAAUAAAGUAAAAAUAUUAAAAUUUGAUUAAAAUUAUUUUUAAAUUCAUAUACAUGAUUGCUUGUGAUUAUUUAAAAAUAGUAAAAAAAUAAUAGUUCAACCGUAUAGUGAAAUUAAACUAAAAAAAAGGUGUACCGCAAUAAUUUCAUUCUCCACCUUUUAUUGAUUUUGUUUUUUCCGGCCCCUCCCACCAUUUAUUUCUGGCUCCACCCGACAAUCAAUUUGUGUCGAGUGUUUAAUCUACACAAUUUUUUUUAUUAUCUACAUUUAUUUAUUUUUUAUUUCAUUAUUAUUUAUCAGUUAAUAAAUACUUCCUUCGGUGUCCCCGUGAGCUUAGCUCAGUUGGUAGGAACAAAUGCAUAAUAUAUGCAGGGGCCAAGGUUCGAACCUCAGAUACACUACUUCUUCACAUUAAAUAUGUGUGAGCUCCAGCCACUAGGCUACCUGACCAAAAAAAAAAAAUACUCCCUCCGAACAUACUUAUAAGAAAUACUAGAAAUCCGACCCGUGCUGACGUCAUAUAACAAUAAAUCAUAAAUCAUACAAAUAGAAGAAAUUUAAUUCCGUUCAAUCAUACAAAGUACACGAUUUAGGAUACAUUCCAAGUCAUACAUAUUAAUAGAAGAACUUUAAUUUCGUUCCAUCAUACAAAGUACACAAUUUAGGAUACAUUACAAAAAACUUCAUGAUAAACAACAUUAGACAUUACAUUAGUGUCUUCACGAUCAUCACAAUUUUGUUUGUUUUUUGGAAACUAAUGCUUCUAAGUUGCAAAGAAAUUGAUGGUUCUUAUCUUACUAUUAUUUUGUUCCCAAUUUGUAAGGUGUUCAACUAAUCAAGCUCAAACCUUAUAAGAGUGAGGUUCAUGGUGUUUUGUUAAAACUUGAAUAUGCAAUUAACAAUGACGGCCCUUUUAUGGUGGUGUUAUUUUAUUAAUAUUUUGACGGUGAUUUAUCAUAGUAAGUGCAACAGAGUGUGAUAUAUAUAUAUAUAUAUAUAUGAGGAUGUAUACUAUGAGAAUGAGUAUUUUAUAUGAGAAUGAUGAGAAUAAUUAUCAAUCAUCAGAUUAAAAAUAAAAGGUUGCGAUUAAAAAUUCUUAUUUAAACAACCCAUGUGCCUCACUUACACUUAGUGUAUCCACAAUACUCAUUCAGCUACCCAUUCAUCGCUUCAUCUUCUUCAAAAUCUCCAUUUUCUGCAACUUUUUCAUCUAUCAAAUCUUCAUUGUAAUUUCUUUCUGCAAACAAAUCCAUAGAAACAUCUCUUUCAUCAACCCAAACAACAUUUUUUGUGUUUGAGAUGUGAAUUGAGGUUUUUGUUUGUUUUUCAAUCAACUUCAAUUAAGUGUAUUCCUGUUUCGAAUGAAUUUCAAAUUUUUGAUUUCAAUCGGAACUCUUGUUUUUGGAUUUUCAAACUGUUGUAUUUGGAUUUCCAAAAUCUAUUAUCUACCGAAGUUGUUACUAGGUUGAGUCGCGACCAGGUCGCUCUCUUUAAGACGUUUCGCGGCACUGCCCAAAAUUGUGCAAGGCAGACUAUCAACCACGCCGCCUCCAGAAUAAAACAAGCCCAGCUACUACUGUUUGAUUAACUAAUGCACUGUAGAAAAUCGUUCGAGAAUUACACCUCCAAAUAUGGUGCUAAGACCACUCUUUAAUACUGAAACCACUUUAAUAUGGUAUUGUUACCACUCUGUUAUGGUGCUGAGACCACUCAAAUAUGGUAUUAACACCAUUCUAACUUUAAGUUCUCCAAACUAUCAAUAUGGUACUACGACCACUCAAAUAUGGUGAUACCACCAUUUCUCCUCAAAUAGAAAAAUAUUGAAAUACUUUUUAUAUAUACCCUUAAGAUCAUUAUUAAUUCCGACGGAACAUUGUUAUUCCAAAUAGGGACUAUGAUCUUAAAAGUACUCUUUAUUCUGAAGGGACAUAUAUUAUCGAAGAGAUUAUGUUUUAAGACCAUUCUUAAUUCCGAAGGGACAUUAAACCGAAAAGGGACUAUGGUCUUAAGAACAGUCUUAAUUCCGAAGGGACAGAAAGGAGUAGAAAAAGGAGAAUGACUUGUCAACACAAGUCGAAUGAGGGAGAAGAGAGGAAAAACACAGAAAACAUCAACUGUGAAUUUCGGUGUGUUUUUGAACUAAGUGGAGUCCUCUAUUUAUAUAGAGAUUCUGUAACUGUUUUAGCAAAAAUUGCGACAACAGUUACUCUAAUGGAUAAGAUUAAAAUGAAGUUUAUCCAUUAAUCAGUUCAACAACACUUGUGAAUAGGAUGAAAAGAAACAAAUCCACAAAAGUGGAGGAAACAAACUAUUGGAUUUGAAUGAAGGAAAUAUAAUAAUAAUUAAAUUAUUAUUCUUAUCACAACCACCAUAAGCUAAAUUUAUGUAAAGUGAUAUUCUCGAAUAAAUUAAUAAUUAAUAUUAUUUUUAUCAUUACCAAGUAUUUAAAAUUAAAUACCACAAUUUAAGCACUACUAAUGUGUGUGUUCUAUUUUAUGUGAGACCCCCACACUCUAUUUUUUCAAUUCACACAACAUUAGAUCAUAGUAUAAUUACUUGGUGUUUAAUCUUCCAAUUUUUUAUCCAACAUCACAUCAAUGUUCCAACAAUUCCCCACUUGAAUUUUAAAAAUGGUUUCAAUAAUAACGUCAAAACGUUUCUAUAAGGUUGCUAAUAAACAAAGGUGUCGCCUACAACUUGAACCUUUGCAUAGCGGAUAAUAUUCUGAUUUAACAAGAGUUGCUUACAGCAUUGAACUCUAUCUCAGACAUAGAACCCACACACAAACCUUUUCCUAAGGUGUAUUCUAAAAGCUCGUGCGUUUUAUGGCCUUGCACGUCUAUCCCGGUUUUAACGAACGUUCUAGGUAUUCUGCCCCGAAUACCAUAGGAAUCGGCCUAAGUUCCACAUUCGUAUAGGUGAGUCUAUCAAGAGUACUCCUGUAGCUAGGUACUCCACUCCACAUAGAGUAUAGAUCUCAUUAAGAGUUUCUAUUAUCUCAUCCUUAUGUCACUGCAGGAAUCAUGCUUUCUUACUUUUCUCAUGCAUGUUCUUUCACUCAUGACUUGUCAUUACCCAUUGAACCUAUUUCUUGGGAUCUCCAAUCAUGUAGGUCGGGUUACCAUUACUAGUGACCUUUGGGCAUUAGUCCCAUAUUCCUAUUGGAUGUGUUUAGGACUUUUUUUCUAGUAAUUCCUUUCGUCAAAGGAUUGACUAAUUCUUUAUUUGUACGUGCACGAUAUACUUUAACCGUUCCUUUUAGAGCUCUCUAAUUAUUCUGUGUUCGUGCCUUAAUUAUCGUUUCUCACCAUUGUGGUAAUGAUUCUCAAUUUUGUAAUAGAUGCAAACUAUCACAAUAAAUUAACACUUCGGACAACGGUUUCACCCACUGAGGGUUCUUAGCUAGCAAGCAUCUUAUCAACUUGCUUCUUCACUAGUUUUCUCUAGUGUUCUCAUCUCAGAAUCAUUCCAUAAUAUCAUUUGUUUCAACAAAUAACUCCUCCAGUGAUGCUCAAUUGGCAGUCACUGGUCGCUUUGAGACUCAUCUGAAGGAUGUUCAAUUUUUUUUUUUAUCUUGUACUACUCAUGUACAAUAUGAUACUUCUCAUUUGUAUCUUGUAACAUUCAAGUACAAUAGGAUACUUCUCAUAAUGUAAUCCUAGAGUCAUAAUCUUCUUAAGGCACCUCAUGACUCUUUCAAUAGCAUGACAAUGCUUCUCAUCUGUCUACUAGUAAACUUGAACAAAAGUCUUACGACGUGGCCAAUGUCGAGUCUAAUACAUUCAAUGGCAUAUAUAAAGACUGCCAAUGAUGCUUACCCUCAAGUGUUCUUGAAAAGCUUUACACUUGCAAGUUUAUAGUCAAAGAAUUACAUUUCCUUAAGAUAUUCUCAACUUUGUGAGAUUCAUCAGAAAAGUUUUCUUUUUUGAUCUAGUAAUCUUGAAACCAAGAAUUACUUCACCUUUGUCUAGGUCUUUCUUAUCAAUGUUGUUGAUAAACAAUGAUUUCACAUAAUUCAUAACAUGAAUCUUUAAACCAAAUAUGAGCAAGUCGUCUUCAUAGAGACAUAUGAUCGUGCAAAUAUUAUUUGUCACUUUCAUUCACUUUAUACUCAUUCGAUAGCAUUAGAAUGUCAAAUUUUUCAUGUCAUUCUUUAAGAGUUUAUUUUUUACCUCACAAAGAAUUAUCUAACUUACAAAACUUGUUUUCUAGUCCAUGAAUCACAAAACCUUCAGGUUGUUUAAUAUAGACUUCUUCUUCUAGUUCACCAUAAAGAAGGCAACUUUCACAUCUAUUUGGAAUACUAUCGAGUUAUGAACGGCGGCAAAAGGGACUAGUACUCUUAUGGAUAUGAUACUAGUGACUGGUGAAUAAGUGUCGAAGAAUACUAUAUUUUUCUGUCUAAAACAUUUGACUACAAGGAGAGCCUUGUAUUCAUUGAACCGUAUCAUCAGGUUUUAGUUCUUUUUCCUAAAAUCCAAAUACAACCGGUUAGUUUGCAACUAUGAGACAAGUCAACCAAGUGUCUUGUUUUGUUAGACUCUAGAAAAUCCAUUUCAUCAUUUAUUGCUUCUUGCCAUAAUUCAGCAUCCAAUAAGGAUAUAGCUUCUUUAAGGCUUAAUGGAUAUUCUUCCAAUGUAUAAACCGAGUUCAUACUCUUUAGCUAUUCUAGCUUUCCUACCUCCUCGAGGUUCUAUAACAUCUGGUACGAUGUUUUCAUAACUAUUUAUGAUUACAUGAAUGUGAUCAAAUAUAGUGCCCCCACUAGUUCUUAAUUUUUAGAAGGGAAUUUAUUUUGCCCCCAAUAAUGUUGUGCUCCCACUAGUGCCCCCACUAUUCUUUAGUUAAAGGGGUAAAUAUAUUUCCAUAGAAAUCGACAUCUUUUAAUUCUAUGAUCACUUUAGCAUUUAAGUCAUAAACUUAUAUGCUUCGCUGUUUAUAGCAUACCUAAUGAAUACACAUUCAUAGGCUCUACUAGUGAGUUCAACUCUCUUGGGAUUCAUAGUCAAAAUAUAGUCCAGACAAUCCCAAGUUAAAAAAUAAGACAAGUUGGAUUGUCUUUUCUUCAAAAAUUUCUUAAUUAGAAUUUUUGUUCUUAGACUUGGGUACUCUAUAAAUUUCAAUUUUCGUUAUAAAAAUUGAACAUAUCAAGCAUAUCAAUUUUAUUUUUCAAAAUUCACAGUCAUCAAUAAAUAUGAUAAAAAUAUCCUUUCAUCAUUUCUACUUUAUGUGCCAUCAAAUUCACACAUAUCAUAAUUUAUUAUGUUUAGAGAUUUAUAUCUCUAAAUUCUGAUUUAUAUGAACUUUUGGUUCAUAUAUCUUGACUGCAAUAAAUAAAAUUGUCUAAUCAUAUAACUUUGGAAUUAAAUCCAAGUUACUCAAGUUUAAAAUUAAACGUUUGUUCACAUGACAAAUUUUGAUAUGUCAAAUAUUAAAAUCACACAACUAAUAAAAUAGAAGGAAAAUUUAUUUUGAACAUACCAUCAAGGACACAUCUUUUCCCACAAUAAUGCAUGAUGCACAAAUCUUUCUUUAAGUUUGAGCUAACUCAGUCUUAUUCAAUAGAAAUCUGAAAUUCAGAUUCUUUCUUAUUUUAAAAGCAUGCAACAAGUUCCAAACCUUAACAUUAGCAUCAAGGGAAAAUGGGUAUUCUAAAUUCUUGCAUUUUAAUAUGCUAACUUGCGACUCUGUAUACCCAACAAUAUGCCAUAAAAGUACCUAUAGCAUUUAUAUAAGGGAACUUCUACGGUACACUCACAAAGUGAGGUGUACCGGUACUCUUGCUCAAUAAUUUUAUAAAUUAACGAUCAUUUUUUGUGAAAUAAAUAACUAUUUAUCAACAUUUAUAUUUUAUAGAACAUUAUUUCAUAAGAAAAAACAUCAUUGCAUUGUUUAUAAGAAUUUUAGUAAUAUUUUUACAUAUUAUCGUAAAAAAAUAAUCAAUGUUCUCGAUUAUGGGUGAUAAAAAUUCAAAAAAUAUUAAUUUUAAUUCGUUGACACUUUUGAUGAAUAAGAUUUAGUUAUUAUAAUUAUAAAUGAUAAAAAAAUAAUUUUUUUUUAUCAAAAAACAACUCAUUUAACUAUUAGUUUAAAGAGUGGAUGUACCGGUACACUCAAAUAUAUUGGAUGUACCAUAGAAUUUCGCUUUUGUAUAAUUCGUUGCAUAAGUAAUAAGUUAUGGCCAUUCUUCUUACUGUUUGAAAAAACUGACAUAGAUUUUUCAAUUCUGGUUACUGUUUUAGUGACAAACUAAACUUGUUUGGUUCUAUAACGAAUAAUUUGUUUUGUAACAAAUUAUAGUCUUAAUCAAAUAUUGUUCGAUUUUUUAUUUUAUUCACGGUAUGAUUUUGAUUUUUGAAAACAAAUUUCAAUCAAAUUCAGAGUCACAUUAGUGAAUUUCUUAGUGUUAUUGUUUAUAACUACAAUCACUUUUUCAGUCAAAAGAUGUAUUUAUAUAGUUUGACACAUUAUUUUUGGAUUUCCAAACUGUUGUAUUUGGAUUUCCAAAUUCUAUUAUCUAACGAAGUUGUUACUAGGUUGAGUCACGACCAGGUCGCUCUCUUUAAGACGUUUUGCGGAACUGCCCAAAAUUGUGCAAGGCAGACUAUCAACCACGCCGCCUCCAGGAUAAAACAAGCCCAGCUACAACUGUUCGAUUAACUACUGCACUGUAGAAAAUCGCUCGAGAAUUACACCUCCAAAUAUGGUUCUAAGACCACUCUUUAAUACUGAAACCACUUUAAUAUGGUAUUGUUACCACUCUGUUAUAGUGUUGAGACCACUCAAAUAUGAUGUUAACACCAUUCUAACUUUAAGUUCUCCAAACUAUCAAUAUGGUAAUACGACAACUCAAAUAUGGUGAUACCACCAUUUCUCCUCAAAUAGAAAAAUAUUAAAAUACUUUUUAUAUAUACCGUUAAGAUCAUUCUUAAUUCCGACGGGACAUUGUUAUUCCAAAUAGGUACUAUGAUCUUAAAAAUACUCUUUAUUCUGAAGGGACAUAUAUUAUCGACGAGACUAUGUUUUAAGACCAUUCUUAAUUCCGAAGGGACAUUAAAACGAAAAGGGACUAUGGUCUUAAGAACACUCUUAAUUCCGAAGGGACAGAAAAGGAGUGAAUAGGCCAAAAACCCCCUGAAAUUGUAACUUUCGUCAAAAAUCCCCCUGAUUUUUAAGAAACUUCAAAAACGCCCCUGAAAUUAUCAAACGUCAGUCAAUUACCCCCCUCCGUUUGUUUUGGCUGUUAAAUGACUAUUUUUUAAUUUCUUUUUGCUUUCUUCAUCUUCUUCCUUCCACUUUUUUCAUCAUCUUCAUCAAUAUUCAUAAAAAAAUCCAGAAAAAUUUUAAGAAACAACAACCAUUAACAACAUCAUCAUUAACAUCACACACUUUAUAAUGAUUCUCUCUCUCUUGUUUGUUACCUUCUUGAAUUAAUCAACAACAACCUUUUGGAAUUCAUCAACAACAAAAUGAAUAAUAGAAAAGAUCAUGAACUUGUUUGAAAAAGAACAAGGUUUAUGAUGAAUAGCAUGGACAACAACAUCAACAGCAACGGUUCUUCUCAUUCUCAUGAUGUUACUGUUCCAUCAUCACUCAUGUCUCCUCUUCAGAAUCAAUCACUUUUUAACCCUCAUUCAAAUGGAUUUCUUUUUUGGAGCAGCGAUGAGAUUACCAACAACAAUGAUCAUCAUCAUCAAUUGUCUCUUGAUCUUUCUGCUACGACCCUUUUGGAUAACAAUGAGCAACAAACAAGAGAAGCUAGUAAUGAGAUGAUGAUGAUGUUGUUAAUGGUUGCUGUUUCUUAAUUUUUUUCUGGAUUUUUUAUAAAUAUUCAUGAAGAUGAUGAAAAAAGUGGAAGGAAGAAGAUGAAGAAAGCAAAAAAAUAAAAAAUAGUCAUUUAACAGCCAAAACAAACGGAUGGGGGUAAUUGACUAACGUUUGGCAAUUUCAGGGGGGUUUUUGACGAAAGCUACAAUUUCAAGGGGGUUUUUGCCUAUUUACUCGACAGAAAAGAGUAGAAAAAGGAGAAGGACUUGUCAACACAAGUCGAAGGAGGGAAAAGAGAGGAAAAACACAGGAAGCAUCAACUAUGAAUUUCGGUGUUAAAAUGAAGUUUAUCCAUUAAUCAGUUCAACAACACUUGUGGGUAGGAUGUAAAGAAACAAAUCCACAAAAGUGGAGGAAACAACUAUUGGAUUUGAAUGAAUGAAAUAUAAUAAUAAUUAUAUUAUUAUUCUUAUCACAACCAACAUAAACUAAAUUUAUGAAAAGUGAUAUUCUCGAAUAAAUUAAUAAUUACUAUUAUUUUUAUCAUUACCAAAUAUUUAAAAUUAAAUACCAUAAUUUAAACACUACUAAUGUGUGUGUUCUAUUUUAUGUGGGACCCCCACACUCUAUUUUUUCAAUUCACACAACAUUAGAUUAAAAUAUAAUUACGAUAUUUAAUCUUCCAAUUUUUCAUCCAACAUCACAUCAAUGUUCCAACAUUUACCAUUGACACGCCAAAAUAUAACUGUUAUAUAAACGAACAUUUCUUUGGUUUUGUUAUACAUAGAUAAAACAGUUAUUUCAUAGUUAAGCAUGGUUGCAAAGCAUUUGCUUUUAAUAGCAGAAAAAAUAAUCAUAUAAUAAGGAACGUCGACCAAUAUUACAUUACCAAAACUUAGAACUCAUCAUAUUAUCUAAUUUAUCUGAAUCUUAUUGCCCUUUUAUAUUUUGUAAAACAAAAGUUUAAGAUGCAAGAACAAAUCUCUUUAAAAAUUAUAAGCAAUUAUAACAUAUGGUAAAAGUAACAAAAACUUUAUAAUUAUAUUAAGCAUGAAGACUCGUACAUAUUGAUUGAAUACAUAGUUCAAUACUGAAAAGAAAAAAAACUAAAAGCACCACAUAAUAGAUCCUUUCAGAAUUUAAAACGCAAAUUGAUACGAAGCUGACAGAUUUCGUAAAUUCCAUUCAUCUUUUUCAAACACGCAUACGACUAACAUAGAGAGUCUUGUUGAAGCCGGGAGCUGGAGCACCGAUCUUUAUCGUUUCACCCUGCUGAAUUCUUCAUGCAUCUACCAUCCUUUUCAACUGAAGCAAGAUUAUUAUGGGAGUAAUGGCUAUACCAGUGAGGAAUUGGUAGGAGAGCAAUGCUAGGAGUGGACGAUCUCCCAUGCUUGAAACAGGUAUGUUACGAAUUUGCUUGGAACAAUGGCAAAUCAAGCUGCUCACGCAACAUGGCUUAUAUAGUGCAAGCAUGGACAUGCGAAAGAGGGAGGGGUUUAAAUCUGCAUAGAGAAGCCGAACUGUUAUGUUUGGAAAAUGUAACAGAUGAUUGAAUUGAAUUGAAUGUCUUAAAUGCAAUGGAAUUUACAUGGCUCGGCUGAACUGAAGGGUUGAGGGUGGGAAACUUCAAUUUCAUAGUGCAAUGCUGAUUAAGAAAAACACUUAGUGGGAAAUAUGAAUUGCGGCUAUAAUGGGAAUUAAAUAACCAAGAAAUUAGUGUUAGGGGAAACUUCAGUUUUUCCUUUUCAUUACAUUGUAACUUACAAAAAAUAGUUAAUAACUACAAAAUGAGAAAUAUGAUUUGCGGCUUGUCAUACCUCAUAUUUGAUUCCGAGUCGGGCUCUCUUCUCUCAAUUAUUCUAUUUACUACUUCUAUUUUUUAAACUUCCAUCUUUUAUUAAUUUUCUUUUUAAUUCUAAAUUGAAUUUUAGUCCCUUGGUCUUAUUUAUCUUUUUAUUUUCCCAUAAAAAUCCAAAAAUAUACAUGUUCAUUCCUUUUUAUUAUUUUUUAAGUGAUAAGUCCAAAAGAAAAGUCCCAAACACAGCUCACAAACAGCUAAUCCCAGCCUGUAAUGUCUCCUCUCCAAGCAACAAAAUUUUGCUCUAUAAAUACAAGCAACCCAUAUCGCAACCAAAUCAAAUCCGUACAAAACCGAACCUCAUCAACAAACCUACACAGAUCCAGAUCAAGAAAAAAAAACAAUAAAAAGGUAGUAACCCUUUUUGUAGAUCUAGGGUCCGUUAAACCUCAUUUCAAAAAACCGUUUUCAAAAAAGAGAGGAGAAGGGAAAGGGUAAUCUUUUGGUAAAAAAAAUCAAAAAAAGGAGGAGUUUUUAACUCCGGCGCGGUGGCGCCGCCGCGAAAACUCGCCGACCACCGCGCCGGAACUAUCUCCGGUAGCCUCUCCUCGUCGAAGAAGAUGAAGAAAUUCUAGAGAGAAGGCAGAGCUUCUCUCUCUAGAAAUGAGAGAAGAGAGAGAAAAAGAAAUAAAAAUGAACAUAAAAAACCGGAGCUGGCUAUUUAUAAAGGGAUUGAACCGGUUCAACCUUUAAACCGGUCUGAACCAGUCUAAUCCAAGCCCACACGCGUCUGGCCUCACCCAAGGCCCAAAUCCUCUUCAUUUUAUUUUCUGCACCCCCCUUUACUGCUCACACACCCUCAGCAUCUCUUUUUUUUUUUUUAAUUUCUUUUUCAUGCAUUUUAAUUCUCUCUCUAUCCAGAUUGCUCUGGUCCUAUAUUAACUGUUAAUAUUAUAUUUUUGUUUAAUUUAAUUAUUCUCUAGAACAAUCUGGUCCUUGUUAAAAUGAACAUAAAAAAGAGAGAAGAGAGAGAAGAAGAAAUAAAAAUGAACAUAAAAAACCGAAGCUGGCUAUUUAUAAAGGGAUUGAACCGGUUCAACCUUUAAACCGGUCUGAACCAGUCUAAUCCAAGCUCACACGCGUCUGGCCUCACCCAAGGCCCAAAUCCUCUUCAUUUUAUUUUCUGCACCCCCCUUUACUACUCACACACCCCCAGCAUCUCAUUUUUUUUUUUAAUUUCUUUUUCAUGCAUUUUAAUUCUCUCUCUAUCCAGAGUGCUCUGGUCCUAUAUUAACUGUUAAUAUUAUAUUUUUGUUUAAUUUAAUUAUUCUCCAGAACAAUCUGGUCCUUGUUAAUUAAAUUAAUCCAGAGUGCUCUGGUCCUAAUUAACUGUUAAUAUUAUAUUUUUGUUUAAUUUAAUUAUUCUCCAGAACAAUCUGGUCCUUGUUAACUAAAUUAAUCCAGAACAAUCUGGUCCUUGUUAAUUAAAUUAAUCCAGAGUGCUCUGGUCCUAAAUUAACUGUUAAUAUUAUAUUUUUGUUAAUCCAGAGUGCUCUGGUCCAAACUUAAAAUGUUAAUAUUUAUUUAUUUUUGUUUAAUUUAAUUAUUCUCCAGAAUAUUCUGGUCCAUGUUAAAAUAACUUCACAAUUCAGCUUAACUUCAUUUUUCUCAUUCUGCUUAUAUAAUUUUCAUAUCUUUAUUCCAAAACAACAAAAAUAUUCAAAUAACAAAUCACAAAAAUAUUUUUUCAUUACAAACCUUGAUUCUCAAAUCAAGUGAUCGUUCUUUUUAUUCUUCUUAAUCAAAUUUCAAAUCAAGUCUAAUUCAACUUCAAGUCAAUUUCUUUCAAUCUAAAAAACACAAACCAAUUCUCAUUCGUCACUUGGCUUUUUAUUUCAAAACCUUUUUCAAAACAUAUAAAAAACACAAAACCAAUCAAACGUCAAUUUCUACCCCGAACUACGAGGUUUUGAUCCCUCACAGGUACGUAGGCAGGGGACCUUGUCCUUCCAAAUGAAUUAAAAAACAAUUUUCUUUUUUUUUCUUUUCAACUUUCAACUAAAAAAUAUUUUUCUUUUUUUCUCUUCAAUUAAAAUCAAUUUUCUUUUCUUUUUCAACUCAUCAUUCAAUUCCAUUUUCCAUCUCUUUAAAAGCAAGCAAGUUGUAGCACCAAAAGUUAAAUAAAAUCAAGAGGUUCUCGUAGAGUACUAUGAAUAUUUAGGGUGCUAAUACCUUCCCUAAAUAUAACCAACCCCCGAACCCUAAAUCUUUUCAAAAUGGAUGGUUUGGAACUUUUUCCCCUUAAAAAAAAAUUUGUUCAGUCGUGAGAUAAAAAGUGAGUCAAAAGUCAAUCAAAUGGCCUUGACGUCCGAAAAAUGGCGCGACACGGCUGUAAUGAGAAUUAAAUAAGCAAGAAAUUAGUGUUAGGAGCAACUUCAAAAAAUAGGAAAAAUUGAGCAAAGGACCUGAAACAACAUAAAGCUUUAAAAAAUAGGAAAAGAUAUUGAAAACAGACGUCGUAAUUGUGAGAAAAAAAUAAGCAUAUCACCUAUCAAGCAGUGAUAGGACAUCAGAGUUUCAAUACCACGACAUUCCAUUGCAAUGAUAGAAAAAUGGACGAGAUUGAAUUUUUUUAAGGCGUAUAGUUGUGAUAAAAAAUUACGGUAUCACUAGAAUCAAGAGGCGCUAAAGCUUUAAGUUGCGUAGGGAGCUUUAAUCAUGCGCAGGAGUCAAAUGUGUGAAUUAAAUGCGAUAGAAUAAAUUCUGAUCGAUUGAUUAGGAAAUGCUCUCAAAUUUGAAAUGAAGUGCUUUAAAUUAUUUAAUGUAUGAAAAACAAUUUGAAAUAAAAUGAAUUUAUUGCGUGUUAAAAGGGUGAGAAGGUCAAACCUGUGAAUUAACUGCGUGGGAGGGAAAUUGCUAGGUUAGAUUUAGGGUUAGGGUUAGCUUGACCAGACAAACUUUAGUAAGUAAGAUUUGAUUUUUUUUAUUCAUUACAUAAAUGAUAUAUUUGGUUUAUAUUUUAGACAAGAUACAUCAAUUACUUAAUGAAUCUAAAAAGUUAAAUUUUUCUUAUAAAUAAAACCGGAAGAAGUACCAUGAACAAUAACAAUCUUUCACAGUAAUAUGUUUAGUGCCACGUGAGUCCUGUAUUUUCUAUGUUCUUGUAGGACGUAAAAAGGUUCAAAACUUUGUUUGUUGAGAGAGAAAAUAUGUGUUCCCAUUUAUGGGACAUUCUGAGUAUGAUUGGUGUUAUUGUUUGAUAGUGGGGAGGAGUGAUUGUCUUCUAACUUCUAAGUUCUAACAAUUAGGUUAGGGUUAAAUAUAAAUAAAAUAAAAUAAAUUCAAAGGGGUGGUUGGAUGAUUGGGGUGUGGUAUCCUCAUGGGGGUUGCACGUGAUGUCUCAAAUCACUAACCCGUAAUUAGUAAUUAGUGUUCACAUGAUUGGGUGCAUAAACCAUAUAGAUUCAAUAAUCAUAUUUAUUAGGGUAUAAGUCUUUCUUUGAUGUUGUUUGUAAGAGUUGUACUUCUUCGUUCGUCAGUUUAAUGUACUUUAUCGAUGAAUUUUUAUAGAAAUAUCAUCCGUAAAUUUAAAAGGAGAGGUAAGAACGGAAUACACAUUAUAACGCAUUCAUCAUUUUUUUGGAAAAGCUUAAUAAUCAUCGUUACAAAUACAUAGUCUGAUGCAAAUUUAUACAUGAUUUCUCCCGAAGAAAUAUCUAUCUAUACUAUAUAGUGGCAAGAUAGAUAAAUACACCAUUAUAUCAACACACAACAUUAUUUUUAUUCAUGAAAUAUAUUACUGAGAAAGAGUACAUGGUGCAUGAAGAUAGAUAUCAUUAUGAUCAGUUUUGAGUUUUGUCCUCAGUUUGCUCGGCACCGUGACCACCGUGACCACCUCCACCAUGUCCCCCGUGUCCACCUCCACCGUGGUUGUAACCACCUCCACCGUGGUGGUAACUACCUCCUCCAUGGUUGUAACUACCUCCACCAUGGUUGUAACCACCACCAUAUUUGGCAUCAUUUACUUCAUUAGUCUUUUCCUCAGUUUGCACGGCAACAGAUUCAGCAGCACCAUGACCACCGUGACCUCCUCCACCAUUGUAACCACCUCCACCGUGACCUCCGUGGCCUCCACCACCAUUGUAACCACCUCCGCCAUGGUUGUAACCACCUCCACCGUGGUUGUAACCACCUCCGCCGUGGUUGUAACCACCACCAUUGUAACCUCCUCCACCAUGGUUGUAGCCACCUCCACCGUUGUUGUAACCACCACCACCAUGGUUGUAACCACCUCCACCGUUGUUGUAACCACCACCGCCGUGGUUAUAACCUCCACCAUUAUAACCACCACCACCGUGGUUGUAACCUCCACCAUAGCCUCCAUAUUUGGCAUCGUUUACUUCAUUAGUCUUUUCAACAACUUCUGAAACACGAUAUAUAUGAAUUGUUAAAUCAUUACUUCAAAUAUAUAUGAAUUUAAUGGUAGUGGGUUGACGAUAUAAAAUAACUUUGUAUACAAGACUAAUCAAAAUAUUUCAAGUUUCCCUGCAAAUUAAAAAAUAUUAAUUGAUGUGGUGAUUCUAAAUAUUUUCAAUGGUUUUGUGUGCAAAAAUUUUUUGAACCAUCAACCAACCACCAUUAAACUUAAUAUAUAUAUAUAUAUAUAUAUGAUUAUGUAUUCACACCGGCGUAAUGUUUGAAUAAUUUUACAUUUCUCACAAACUUAUUGAAUAUAGAAUUAUACCAAAUUUAAAAAGACUCACAAUUGAAUAUAUAAUAUAAUUAUAUCAUAUUGAUCAUCUUUGUAAGUUAUGAAGCAAAUUUGAAAUCAUUUUAUAUAAAAUUGAGUGCAUGAAGAUUAACGUUUACAUAGAAAAGAAUUAAUUAUAACGUAUAAAAUUAUAUAAUUAAGUAUAAAAGAAUUAUCCUUCAAAAAAGUAGAAAAGAAUUAAAACAUAUAUCUAAAACGCUCAUGAAAACAUAUAUAAAGAAACAUAAUAUAAUAUAUAGCUCACCCUUUUUAGUAUCAGUGGAAGUUUCAGUUAAGUCCCUAGCGGACAUCACUGAGGAAAUAAGAGCCAUAGCCAAUAGGCCUAGCAUGAGGAUUGCCUUUUUCGAAUCCAUUGUUCAAAUGUGAUAUUUAGUAGUGAACGAUGAGAAAAACUAGUAAGAAGUGUACUCUAUAUAUAAUGGAGGGAAGGAGGGAGAUGUAGGGACCUUCACUUGGCAGUUGAGAAGGUAGCUCUUGUGUAUUAAUUCAUUACUUUGUAGGUUCAUAAUGUAUCUAGUCAUAUUAUAGAUCAGAUACAUUUCAUCAGCAAUUAUAUUGAUGAAACUUCUUCUUGUUCUUGUUCUUGUCGAAUGAGUCUUCAACUAUUGCUUCAUCUUCACCUCUCAUCAGCAAUUCCAACGAGCCUUCCACUUUUUCUUCCUUUUGAAAAUUCAUGAAGUCUUUUUAUUUUUCUUCUCUCAAAUAUAUUCUUUUACUUUUCACUUGAGAUUUUUAACAAUUGCUACUCAUCUUAUUUAUAGAAUUUUAACUCUUCUUAGAACCAUUGUCUAUAACAAAAUUUUGUUUAAAUUUGAAGAUAAUGAGAAACAAACUUUGUUUAAUAAAAAACUUUGUUCCAAAGAGAUAGCAUUAAUUUAGUUUUAUUGAAAAAGAUAAGAGUAAUUGAUAAAGGAUAUAAUUGAAAAAUCGUACGCUUAAAAUACCAAAAAGACAGUUAAAUAGUAACGAAAAAUUCAUCCAAAAAAGACACUUAAAAAGAAACGGAGGGAAUAGUAUUUCAUAUCUUAUUUAUGUAUUAACAAAAAAUAUAAAAUUUUGAUAUUUUAAAAAUAUUCGACAAAUACAAAAAUAUCUUAUAUAUUAUCAUUUGCCUAUAUAAUAUACGAUAGUAAAAAAAAGAUGAUUAAAGUAUGUUAGGUAAAUAAUGCAUUUAGUCACUUGUUUUAGAAUAGAGUAGUUGUAAAGAUUGAAGGCUAUGAAAAUGGAGAUGAGUUAUGUCUACUUGCUAUUGGCUGAAAGUGACAUUUUGAAAGCAUGCUAUUGGUUCAUACUAGCUAUCUCAUCCCAUGGAGAUACAUACAUUCAAACUUAUCCAGACACAUUCAUAAUAUGUUUUCUAUAACUAAACAAAAUUAGCAAAAGAGUAUUACAGAGGUAGACUCUAAACUUUUUAAAGAACAGUGAUGUUGAAUACUUGUUUGAGAAAGUCGUGUGUAGGCAUAAUCAUUUAGACACAAAGUUUAGGCACAUACACAUAAAUAAAUAAAAUUAAAAGAUAAAUAAAAUAGUUACAUCAAUCAAUAUCACUUUAAUUAUUUUCUUUUUAAUGUUUUAUUUCAUAGGUGUGUGCCUAAAUGUGAGAUGUUGGUCUUGUGAUCAAGUUAGAGUUUCUCAACUAGCUUUUACCGUCGUAUAAUUUUAUUUGCUUCAAACGAUUACACAAAUUAAGAAAGAAUCUAUGUUUCUCAACUAUAUUAAGAAAACGAGUUGUUAGAACUAAAAUAUCGAAAUAUAAAAUAUGAAUAAAUGCUUUCUUAAUUCAAAGAGCAAUGAUAUCGAAACAUAAACUUUGCAAUUUGGUUAUUAGUUGAAUAUAAUCCGGAUGUACGAUCUUGGAUCGACGGCUGAGAUUAUUUUUCCGUGUAAAAUUAAUUUUAUAAUUUGAAUAAUUGAAUCACAAAUCAAUGGUCAAGAUUCACUACAUCGUAAAACUGCGUGUUGUUUUUCCAGCAUGGAAUUUGGGUCCCUAUACUCCGAUUCAUCACAAUAAUGAAAUAGAACUAUAAAUAACCUAUCGUUACAGAGGUAAACACAAUUGACUGAACUACAUGCAUGAACAAAAACCAAGUCUUAUUUUCACGUGAUUUUUGUUUCUUUCAUACCGGUUGUGGUUCUAAAACCUUCCUAAUUGAUUCUUACAUCCACCCUUAGCUAAGAUUCUUAUUUGGGACUUGGGAGUGUCACUCCGAAAGUGAUACUAUUAGAGGACACAAUUGAAAAAAUAUAUAUCAUACUGAAAAUUUAAUGUGACAAUUAUUUUACGAUAACUAUUUACAUAUAUGUCACUCAUCGUUUAACGAAAUAUGGUAAUGAUUUUUCUAAACACCAAACAUUUUGUUAUGACAAUAAUAUUUUAGUUUUUAUUAAAUAAGUAACUUUUUUUACAAAGGAAAACUUAGGUGAGUUGGACUCCAAGCAUUAAAAAUAUAGUUACAAAGCACACAUAACUAAAAGAUCUUUAUAUUAACAACGGAGAUUGAACUUACGAUGAUGUCAAUCAACUCAUUAACAACUGAAUCAACAUUCGCUAACGACCACGACCCACGCCUUCCCCUCCCUUACUGUUCAACUGAAGUACUAUGUUGAAUUAAAUUGCCAGCAACAAACGAUAACGAGACUCACCCACUUAUUCGAGUUUUCCUUUUCCUUCAAUUCUAACAAAAUUUAUGCAUUUAAAUAUUUAAUGUUUCUUUGUUUUUUCCUAUAGAUACAAAUUUGCGGGUAUGAGCAUUUAAUGUUAAGCAAAAAUAUCGCCAAAUAACAUUGCAAUUUGUGAAAAAUAUCAUGAUUAACGAUCUACUCGUCCAUGGAUUAACGGCGGUAACAUUGUUGCUGGCUCCAUUAUUAGUAAUUAGUUCUAUGGUCGACUCAAAUGAUCUAAACUGUAAACUUAACUUCAAAUGUUUGCUAGAACUGCAAGACAGAAAAAGAAAGAAAAGAAAAACAUAUGUAACGUGAAAAUUGAAAGUAAGUUCCAGAUUGUAUGAUAAAAAGUAGAGUUGUUUGGUAAAGCCUAUAAUUAGUACCAUUGUUUUAUCAUAAAUUUAUUUUGAGAUAUUUUUUUCUUUUUUGCAUAAUUUUAUUAAAAUUGAGGUGUUGUAAAUAUUUUUAUGAUCUCUUACAUUUAUUAACGGUGGAUCAUUUGGAAAACAUCAAAAUUUCAAUUAUAGCUGCAUAAUUUUUAGUUAGACUUUCUUUACUUCCUGACCAUCAGGGGUGGGAAUAGGUUAGGCCGAGUUAGGCUUUGCAAGGCCUGAGCCUGAUCUGUCAAAUUUUAUGAAGGACUAAGUCUGGUCUGCGGUCUGUCAUAAACUUACUUUUUAGGUCUGAGUCUAACCUUCUGAAAGUUUGAUACGGUCUGCUAGCCUGUUUAAAAGCAUAUUUCAUAUAAACAUCUUUAAAUAAGCAAUGUUAUCUAAGUUUAAAUAGACUAACGAACUAAUAUAUCAAAUAGAUUAAACUCUCUUUUGAUAAUCAACAUGACUUUUUAGAGAAUUUGAUUAUAUAUUGUAUCAUAUUUCAAUUCUACUUUAUAAUAAUACAUUUAAAUAUGCAAAAAUAUAAUGUAUACUAAUAAACUUAAAUUACUAAAUUACUGAAAAAGUUAACAAAUUUUUAUUUUAAUUCAAAGUACAAAAUAUAAUAUAAUAAUAAAUAAUAUUAUUCAUAUUUAGGCUUAAUUACCUUUUUGAUCCUCUAACUAUUUAGUUGGUAUCAGAUUGAUCCUCUAACUAAAAAUUGAUUUAUUUCGGUCCUCUAAGUUUCUCACUGUUAUUACAUUUAGUCAUUUCUGUUAGUUUUAUUCAAAUAAACGUUAGAGUUUGUGUUAUGUGGGUAUCUGACCUCCUGUUUCACACAUACAUAUGAACCAUAACAGUUACCAAUAAUAUCAGUCACUAUUUAAUCAUAAUACCUUAACAAUGAAUAUGACCAAAAUGAUACUAAUAAAUAAAGUUAGAGGACCCAUAUAACACAAACCCCAACGUUUAUUUGAAUAAAACUAACAGAAAGGACUAAAUAUAGUUAUAGUGAGAAACUUAGAGGACCGAAAUAAAUCAAUUUUUAGUUAGAGGACUAAUCCGAUACCAAUUAAAUAGUUAGAGGACCAAAAAGAUAAUUUAGCCUCAUAUUUACUUAAAUAGUCCGGCCUAAUAGGCCUAAAAGGCUUUUAGAAUGACAUGUGGUCUGACCUUUUAAGCUAAAUGGGCUUCUAAAAAAGUCUAGGCCUUCUCUGUUUAGGAAAAAAGUAUGAUCUGGCCUAGCCUAUCGUAUGUAUGCUAGGUCGUAGGCCCCUGUAGGCUGGCCUGACCUAUUCCCAUCCCUACUGACCAUACUCGGAUCACUAAGAUAUUUUUCUCACAAAGAUAGAGAUAUAAGACCGAAAAACACAAUUACGUACACUUAUUCGUAAAACAAUCUUACGUACACUUGUUUGUAAAAUGAGAUCAACCAUGAUAAUAAACAUGUUUUAAUUUCAUAAACAUAUUUAACAUUUUUUUUUAUCACAUCAUUAAACUAUCAUAUAUUAAUUUAUUUAUUUUUUCAUCUUUAUUUUUAAAGCAUACUCCUUUCGUUUUAAAAUAUAAGUAAAUUUUACUUUUUAGGUUCAUUUAAAUAAUGAUGUAUAUGGUUUAUAAUAUGGGUCACAUACAUCAUUAAUUGAAUGAAUUUAAAAAGUAAAAUUUACUUAUAUUUUGAAACGAAGGGAGUAUACAAAAGAUUUUCCAAAUGAGAUAGAAAGAUUUUUCUUUUCAAAUGAAUGAUUGAUCCCAUAUUUAGAGAAGGGGCUAGUUGUUUCCUAUGCAACUAACAAAAUAGACCACUCAUCUGAUAACAAGGAAGUGAGAAGAAUUCACAGAACACUUGGAUAGGUCAUUCAAAAAAAAAAAAAACUAGCAUAAGUCAUUUGGUGCCGCCAUUCAAUUAAUUCAUUUCAUACCGACACUUUGACAAUAUUGAGGCAUCAAAUGCAAUCGUUUUUUAUUUUAUUUUCUAUGAUUAAAAUCGACAUUGUUUUUUGGUGAGAUUCGCAAGUGGCAAGCCACGUAACUGUACAAGUUCAACAUGCAUUUGACUUUAGCAAAACAAAUUUCAAUCUUAGAUUAGAUCACGUGUUUGUUUUCAUUUGUUAGAAUCCAUUUUUCUAGUGUAGUAUCCGUUUAAGAGGAAAUGAAUUUUUAAAGUGAAAAUCUCUCUAACUUUUCUCAAUUGUUAUAUUAAAAUCAUUAAACAUGAAAGAGAAAAAGAGAUAUAAAAUUAUAAAAAAAAAAAUAUUAAACUUAUGUUUUAGAUGUAAUAAUUGAGAAAAAUUAAAACCGUUUCAAUUUUUUUUUUAAAUGGCCAAAUAUUAUUAACCACUAAUAAGCUUGGGUGGUAAAAAAUACAAAGAUUUAUUUCCACAUUAAGAUGGUUGUAGGUUUUUGGGUAAAAUAUGUUUUAAUCAGUCUAAAUAUAUGUGCUUUCAAUUUUAGUCUUACAUAAUUUUAAUAGUAAUUGUAAUUGGUCCUUCAUGUCAAAUGGGUUGCUAUUUGAGGCUUUGAGCUAAAGGAAUUUGAGGGAUUCUUCCAUGCUCACAAGACCAAAUCAAUAGUGAUUGGACAUAAACGCAAAAAGAUGGUCUUUAAAAUAUUCAAUAUUUAAUUAUUCUUUUGGUCCCUUAACUUAUUUUUUGGUUUCGUUUUGGUACCUUAACUAUUAAAAGUUUUAUUUUGGUCCCUUAACUUAUUUUUUGCUUUCGUUUUGGUCCCUUAACUAUUAAAAGUUUCAUUUUGGUCCUUUAACUUACUUUUUGGUUUUGUUUUGGUCCCUUAACUCAUCCUCUGUCAACCACUUUGGUCUUUUAUAUUAGGAUGAAUGUAUUAGAGUUAAGGGACCAAAAUGAAACCAAAAAAUAAGUUAAGGGACCAAAACGAAACCAAAAAGUAAGUUAAAGGACCAAAACGAAAUUUUUAAUAGUUAAGGGACCAAAAUGAAACCAAAAAAUAAGUUAUGGGACUGAAACGAAACUUUUAAUAAUUAAGGAACCAAAACGAAACAAAAAAAUAAGUUAAGGGAUCAAAAGAGUAAUUAAGCCUUUUUUUUUUUUAUCAAUUUCCUCUUUAUUAUUAAAAAACUAUUCUUUUUGUUUGUGUGUCAAACACUUUUUAUUUGGUCAUGUGACCAUAUUAAAAUUUCUCAAGGAAUCAUGACUAGAUACGCCUCGUGGACAUUUUGAUUGACGUACGGUGUUGACUCGUGAAUAAACAUUAGACUCAAUUGUUAUUUCAUAUAUGUAUCAUCGAAAUUUUAGAGACAUUGUUUUAAAACUUACUCUGAUUCAUCAAUUUAUACUUUUUUAAUUUAAACUAUCAUAUGUUUAUUUUAAAAAAAAAUCAUGAAAUAAAAAAAUUAAAAAAAAUAAAAACUCAUGACCAUAUUCUCGAAUCCCAAGUUCCCAAUUUCUUCUACCUAAUUCCAUGAAUAAUAUGAGUGUUUCACAUAUAUGAGUUUGAUUAAUUUUUCACAGUAUUGGGUGUGAGGAAUUUUUCAAGCACUACCGACAAAAGAAAUAGAGAUCACUUCGUCGUUACUUUGCACAACAAUGUCUUAAUCAUUCUAAAAAAACACUCUUCAUAUCUUUAAAUUUAGGCAUUUUCAUGGAAAAGUGAUGUUUGUCUUUAGAAAGUGUACUAAAUUGUCGUUAAGUAGUAAAAUUUAUAAGUUAGUAUCGAUGUAGAUUGUGAAAUCUCAAUUUAACUACUACGAUAAUAGUUUGGAUAUAUACAAUUGGGGGGUGUUUCACUUGGCAAUGGUUGGAUUAACUGUUCUUUAAAGAAAAAGGUAAGACACUGAUUAGGUCAUGAUAGAUCUGCUUCUCUUAAUUACAUAGAAACUUGCCGCCUUGGUUGCAAUUGUUCGAAUAGUUUAGUUUCACGACAUUUGAUCAAAAUAGUUAAGUUAAUUUUUAGUUCACUAACCUUUUUCUCUUGUUACGACCCCCUAAUGUCUUAUGUGAAACUAUAUCAAUUGAAGGCUUGAUUAUAUGCCAAAUUAUUAUCACAAAGCAGUUAGCUCAAGCCCCGAAGCUAAGGUUAGUGGUCAUCGAGACCAAAAUUAGUUUAUGAACAUUCAUAAUCGUAUAAAAAAGCAUUAAGAACAAUUAUAGCUGAAUAAAACCAAGCAAUCAUUUGUAAUCAAAAAACUUUUAUGGUUCGGAUUUUGGGAUAAGGGAGAGAGAGAAAGUGAAAAGUUUAAAUGUAAAACUGUAAAAUGCGGGGAAGGAUGAUUUUUCUUAUAUAUAUCAAAACGAUUCAGAUUAUAUAAUCUGAACCAGUUUUCGUAUUAUUUUAAAUUUCAAAAUCUGAAGGGUAGUUUUAGAAUUUUUAUAUGGUGCGUGGGUAUCUCAUAUUGUAGGAAAAGUAAUAGUCCUAAAAUAUUAUUGGUAGAAAAAUGUAUUGGGCCAUGGGAAAAAAGUUGGACUUUAGUGAAAAGAGUAAUAGAUUGUAAUCAAUUUAAAAAGUAUAUUUAUUUAUUAAUUAAUUAUUCGGUUCAACCGGUUUAAUUAGUUGAACCAUAAACCGGAGUCUUACUGGUUUAAUCUUCGGUUUGGUUUUAAAAACAUUAAUAUAUAUAAUAAUAAUAAUAAUAAUAAUAAUAAUUGUACCAAAAAAAAUAAAUAAUAAUAAUAAUAAUAAAAGUAGUUUGACGACCCAAGAUGACCAAAGACUGACAACACCACCAAAAAGAAUCAAACAAAAAAAACACCAACAUAAAAAAUAAAAAUAAAAACAUCCCAAUGACCCAAACCAAAAGCAGAAUGGACCAGGUCAACUACACCAAAGAGAAAGAAACAUAGGCACCCAGACAAGCCCCCCAAAGCACCCAUACAAGCCCCCCACAUAGCAACUACCGGCUCAAGUAGAGAAUUGCUUCCACCACUCACUCAUAGUGAGGGCAAGGCGAACCAAGGUGGGACUUAUAAAAAAAACCAAUAACACAAAGAGAACUGGGUCUUCAGAACCAAUUCCUCCACAUCUAGAAUCUUACCGACAAACACAAAAUCAUUAAUGUAACAUGUGUCACAUUGCGUGAAUGUUGUAAAUUUUAAGUACUAAUUUUGCUUUCUAUUCAUAAAAAUUGUGACCUUUAACCGAAAAAUUGUGAUAUAUUAAAAAUAUGUAUUAAGAACAGGGCUGACCCAAGCUAUAGGCAAAUUAGGCAUUUGCUUAAGGCCUUGAUUUUUUUUAUUUUUUUUUUACCUAUUAUGCAUGGUACCAAUUUUUUUUAGCGAAUCUCAUAUUUAUUUAUGGUGAUAAAAAAUUUAAGAGAAAUAAUACAAGUUGUCGAAUGAUAUAGCGAUUGAUUUGCUUAAUUUUAUAGAAAGACUUGGUUUUUUUCCAGAUGUGUAUAUUGGUUAUAGAAUAUAAUGUUAACAAUUCAUAUAAUUGUUGUGUCUGCAAAUUUGAAUUUGUUUUACUGUCGAUUCAAAAAGAAUUGUUAAACUAAACCGAUUACAAUAAUUUUGCAUCCAAAAAAAAUCGAAAUCACUUUGAAUAAAAAUAUUAUUUUUGUAAAAAAAAUAUAUAAUUAAUAAUUUCUUUUUUGUACAAACCAUGCUCCAUUUUAGAUUUCGCGUUGAGCAUCAAUAUGUGUUGGAACGGUCCUGAUUAAAAAAGUUUUAUGCUAUGUAUUUUUUUACCAGUGAAUUAUAGAAAUCUCAUCCAUAAAUUUAAAAAGAGAGGUAAUAAGACAAGAUAACACAUUCAUCAUUUUUUGGAAAAGCUUAUCAUCAUUACAAAUACAUAGUCUGAUGCAAAUUUAUACAUGAUUUCUCCCGAAGAAAUAUCUAUCUAUACUAUAUAGUGGCAAGAUAGAUAAAUACACCAUUAUAUCAACACACAACAUUAUUUUUAUUCAUGAAAUAUAUUACUGAGAAAGAGUGCAUGGUGCAUGAAGAUAGAUAUCAUUAUGAUCAGUUUUGAGUUUUGUCCUCAGUUUGCUCGGCACCGUGACCACCGUGACCACCUCCACCGUGUCCUCCGUGUCCACCUCCACCGUGGUUGUAACCACCUCCACCGUGGUGGUAACUACCUCCUCCAUGGUUGUAACUACCUCCACCAUGGUUGUAACUUCCACCAUGGUUGUAACUACCACCACCAUAUUUGGCAUCAUUUACUUCAUUAGUCUUUUCCUCAGUUUGCACGGCAACAGAUUCAGCAGCACCGUGACCACCAUGACCUCCUCCACCAUUGUAACCACCAUGACCUCCUCCACCAUUGUAACCACCGUGACCUCCGUGGCCUCCACCACCAUUGUAACCACCUCCACCAUGGUUGUAACCACCUCCACCGUUGUGGUAACCACCACCACCGUUGUGGUAACCACCACCGUGGUUAUAACCUCCACCAUUGUAACCACCACCGUGGUUAUAACCACCAUGGUUGUAGCCUCCAUAUUUGGCAUCGUUUACUUCAUUAGUCUUUUCAACAACUUCUGCAAACACAAUAUAUGAAUCAUUACUUUAUUUAUAAUUAACUAGAAAAGAAUUUAAAAAAUAUAGAAAAUGCUUGUGAAAGUAUUUAUAAAGAAAAAUAAUAUAUAGCUCACCCUUUUUGGCAUCAGUGGAAGUUUCAGUUAAUUCCCUAGCAGACAUCACUGAGGAAAUAAGAGCCAUAGCCAAGAGGCCUAGCAUGAGGAUUGCCUUUUUUGAAUCCAUUGUUCAAACUUUGUUCAAAUGUGAUAUUUAGUAGUGAACUAUGAUAAAACUAAGUAAGAAGUGUGCUCUAUAUAUAAUGGAGGAGUGAAGUAGGGGACCUUUACUUGGUAGUUGAGAUGGUAGCUAGUGUGUAUUAAUUCAUUACUUUUUAGAUUCACAAUGUAUCUAGUUUAUAUGAUAGGCUAUAUACAUCUUUUAUACAAUUAAUCAAAAAAAUGAAAUUUUAUUUAUAAUAGUGAUCGAAUAGUGUAUAUAUCUAUAAAUUUUAAACUAAAAUAGUUGUUUGAUGAUUUCGAUACCAUUUAUUUUGACUACUUCCUUCGAUCCAAAAUAAAUGAUCUUGUCGAUUGUUUUAAGCAUAUCAAUGCACAUCUUUGAUUUUUAAUACUCUCUUCAUCCUAGAUUAACUGAGUCAUUUGCUCAUUCACACAUAUUAAGAAAAAUGUAUAAAUGAAGGAGAUAAAAAAAUGAUUAUAAGUGUUUUUGUUAUGUAUUUGUGCAUUCUCCACUAUCAUAAAUGCAAAGUAUAAUAUAUUGAAUUGAAAGUGAUGAAAGUAGUAUUAAUUAGAAGAAAAAAUAAUUAAUAUUGUAUUGAAAAAUGAAAUGAAUCAAUUAUUUUAAGACAAUAUUUUUUUACAAAAAGUUCAGUCAUUAUGAGACGGAGGAAGUAUUAUUUAUUUAUGUAUUAACAAAAAAACAUAAAUAAAAAUUGAUAUUUUAAAAAUAUUCAUUGAGACAAAUAAAAAAAUAUCUUAUAUAUUAUCAUUUGUCUUUAUAUAAUAGUAAAAAAAAAAAAAAAAACUAAGUGAAUAAUAGACAUAGUCAAAUAAUUUCAUAAUUGAGAGAGUUGUAAAGAUCGAAGGCUAUGAAAAUGGUGAUGAGUUAGGUCUACUUGCUAUUGGCUGAAAGUGACGUUUUGAAAGCAUGCUAUUGGUUCGUACUAACUAUCUCAUCCCAUGGAGAUACAUACAUUCAAACUUAUCCAAACAAAUUCAAAAUAUGUUUUCUAUAACUAAACAAAAUUAGCAAAAGAGUAUUACAGAGGUACACUCGAAACUUUUUAAAGAACAGUGUUAUUGAAUACCACUCCUUUCAAUUAGAUACAUAUCACAUUUUAUUGAUGAUAUAAAUGUUUAUUAUAAAUAAGAUUAGAUGAAGUAGCCGUUAACAUCUUAUAAUUAUAUUUGCUUGAAAUGAUUACACAAAUUAAGAAACAAACUAUGUUUCUCAACUAUAGGUUCUUUAAUUACUCUAAAUAGUAAGAAAAACAUAAGUUUUUCUGAGGGAGUAGGAAAAACAUAAGUUAAAAGCUUAAUACAACUCAAAUUCCUAGAAUCCCUCGGCUAUGAGUGGAAAGCUUUCGUUUGGUGGAUUUGGAUCCUCUUUAUUGAAAAUUUUCUUCAAUUUUCUCCAUUUUCAAUCUUCACCAUUAAAAUACAACUACUAUUUGUUAGUAUAAUUUAAUUAUCACUUUCUCUCUCAUGAUUGAUGGUUGAGAUUUUACAUGAAAAAAUUUGAGAGAAUUUUCAAUGGAGAGAAUCCUAAUCCUCGUUUGGUUUGGUUUUUUUGGCUCAUAUAUUCAAACCAAGUAAGAAUAAUUCAUUUGUUUUGACUUGGAUUUUACAAAUUUUUUAUUAAAUCCAAAUGAAAGUUAAGUGAUUAAAAAUGGGCCAGCUUGCCUCAAAUAAUCACUCAAGUUGAUAUUUUAAAAUUUAAUAUUUUUUAUAAAUUUUAAAAAAUUAAGUUUUCUUUAAGAAUAUUAUAGAUUUUUUAACAUUAUUUUUUUUAUCAGAGGGAAAUAAAAGACACAAAAGAAAAAAAAAACUAAACAACUCAUUGUCUAAACACCCCAAAGACAUCAGCAAGCAAGUCCAGAUCCAACUCUUUAAGAGGGGAAUUGUAACACCCCGUUUUCCCAAUAUAAAAAUUUCAUAAAUUAAUCAGAGUAAAACACCUUAAACGGAAUAUUACACUUCUUUUCUUAAAAACAUAAAUGGAAUAAUUAUCCUUCAAAUUUCAACAACGUAUUGUCAUACCCCAAUUUUUGACCUAAGGCCCCACUGACACAUGUCACUUGACUCUGAUCGAUCUCUGAUUUUUCAGUGAAAAAAUUCGGCAGGGAGGUAUUUUAAAAUACCUUAUUUUUGAUUCCGAGUCGGACCCUCUUUUCUCUUUUUAUUUUCUUUCUAUCUUUUAUUAAUUUUAAUUUUAAGAUUAGUUACUUUUUUAUAUUUAAUAAUUUUUAUUUUCCAUCUUUUAAUUUUAUUUUUCUUUACAUAAUUUAGUUUAAUUUGUUUUUAUUUUAUUUCGUAUUAGAUUUAUUUUAUUUUUAUUUUUCUUUUUAAUUAAUUAGUGUCCAAAAAAAAAAAACAAAGUGUCAAUAGGUCCAAAAUAAAAUGUACAAGGUCUAAAAAAAUUCAAGUCAAGUGUCAACUUUAACAUUUCUUUUUCAAAAUUCACCAUAAUUGUCCAUCAUUUUCAUUAAACCAAUUUUCCAUUUUUCAUCAACCUCCUCACCUAUAAAUAGAGCCCUCAUUCCACACAAUUUCACACACCAAAAGUUCUCUUGAGUUGUCAAAGAACUUUUCUCUCUUCUCCCUCUUUAGCUUGUGUUGACGAGCUAUUCUUUUCUUCUCCCUCUUUUUUCUGUCCCUUCGGAAUAAGUCCCUUCGGUAAUUUUUGUCCCUUCGGUUGUCAAUUUCUUUUAUUUUCUUGAAUUUUAUUUCUUUUUAGUAUUUUUGCAUUUUUUUUUAUUUCUAUUUAGCAUUUUAAUUAUUUUUAUUUAUUUUCCAGCAAUUAGAAUGUAUUUAGGUCCAAUGUAAAUAUAAAUGAGAAAAGUGUGUGGGUGUGUGUGUCCUUUUAUUUCUUUACCGCCUUAUAUAUAUCCAAAAUUGCAAAAAAAAAAAUAGAUCAGGGAUUUUGUGGUGAUCCAACGUCACUACAAAAAUCCACGCGCUUUUAUUUUUAUUGCUCCGUUAGUUUAAUUUUUAUUUAAUAUUCCAAAAAAACAACAAAAAACAUGCAAAUAAUCAAAAUCACAAAAAUAUUUUCAUAAUAAACCUUGAUCCAAAUCAAGUGACCGCAUUUUUAUUUUCUUUUCUCCAUCAAACUUCAAUCAAUUUAACUUUACUUUUAAGUCUCUUUUUUCAAUAUUAAAAAACACAAACAAAUACUCAUUUGCCACUUGGCUUUUCAUUUUAAAACCUUUUUCAAAACUAAUAAAAAACACUCAACAAAUCAAACGUCAAUUUCUACCCCGAACUACGAGGUUUUGAUCCCUCACGGGUACGUAGGCAGAGGACCAUGUCCUUCCAAAUCAAUAAAAAAUGUAGAUAAUUAGGUCUUUAUUUUUAUCAGUUUAAUUCAUUCUUUUCAAAAAUAAUAAGCAAGUUAUAGCACAUUAAUUAAAUAAAAUCAAGAGGUUCUCGUAGAGUACUACGAAUAUUUAGGGUGCUAAUACCUUCCCUAAAUAUAACCAACCCCCGAACCCUAAAUCUCUCAAUAUGGGGUGUUUUGAACUUUUUUCACCUUUUUCUUAAAAAAUAAAAUGUUCAGUCGUGAAAUAAUUAGCGAGUCAAAAGCUAAUCAAAUAGCCUUGAUCUCCGAAAAAUGACGCGACAGAAAUGGCGACUUCACUGAUGAUGCCCUAAGAGGGUUGAGCCUAACUUGGCUUUAUUUAAUUAUUUGUGCUAUAACUUGCUUAAAACAAAAAAUAAAAAUGAUGGAAAUACUUGUAUAUUUGUUCUCUCUUCUUCUUUCUUCUUUCUUCUUUCUUAAACGUGAGUGGUGAGAUAAGUUCUACACCCGGACUUGAGAGAAAUAUAAGAUAGGAGUGGUAGACUCAUAGUGGCAUACCGGGAGUAUACUCGUGUCUAGUCACAUGUGAGAUAACCACACUUAGCGGAGGAGCUUGAAGUGAUAUAUGUCGGCGUGUGUUUUCACGUUUAGACUUUAUUACUCUUAAGUUUCCAAUGAAGCUAAGGACCUUUAGUAACCCUUAACCCAUCCUGGCCUUUUAGGACGUAGUGCGGUGGCUAACCGGAUGUUUUCUCGAAACUAGUCGACACGCGAUACUACACUCAAAUGAGACUUUCCUACGAACGUUGUUGGACCGGGUGUUUUCUCGAUAUCCGAUAAUAUUCGGAAGUAGUCGAGGACUUUGGGAACUUGGUAGAACCCGUGAUACAGGUACAUUUGAAACCAUAGUCCCUACCAAAUGGCGUUGUUAUCCUUAAGCUCCAACAUUAUGGACUUAACCUCACCAUGCAUUCCAUGUUCCUUAGCAUAAUCAUGCAUACAUGCAUUCAUUCAUAAAACUUUUGUUCUUCUCACUAAUAUCGAAGGACUUAGAUAAGUUCUUGUAAACAUCAAUGAUAUGGACCUUGUAAGAAGGAACACCUACAACUUCAAAAACCUUAACUAAGCUUUAGCUUUUGUUAAGAAUUUUUUCCUUGGUUUCGUUCUUACUUUUGAAAUGGGAACCAAUUGCAACAUCUUCACAAUUUUCAAAUAAAACAAUGUUCCUUAUCAAGUUUACAAUUACUUUGACAAGUCCUUCAAAAAAAACAAAUGUGUCUAUUUUUGCAUAAGCAUAGCAUGCAUACAUAAUUUCAAGUCUGAGUCUUACACUGUGUCUUUUCUACUAAAGGUCAAUCCAUCUCAAAGGUGUCCCAACUGUCCUCGUCCAAAGUCAACUCGCACCUACAACACUCGGGCAAACAAAAAAAGAGAACGUAUCAGUUUGAACAAGAAAUCCACGAGCAUUCGUGAAGAGGUAACAACACUAUUGACGUUCCUUCCGCUACUUUUUGUUCAAUUAAUGUUUGUUUGUUGAUUUUCGCUUUUCAAAAAAAAAAAAAAAAAACAUCCUUUCGUCCCGCCUGAGAUGAAAUUGAUCUUGUGUAGGGCUUUUUGCUUUAAGUAUUGGUCAUCUUUAAUAAAAAGGUCGUUUUAAUCCCGACUUUAUUUUAUUUUGUGCUUUUUCUGAAAAAUGGUAAUACAAAAAACCAAAAAGAAUUUCUUUAAUCAUUCGCAUAUAUCUGCAUAAUCAUAGCUUGUACUUACUUGUCAAAAUCAAUAAUCAAAUCAUGCAUUAAUAAACCCGUUGAACAUAAUAACCAUGUACUCUCUCCCAACUUUGAGUUCUCUGUGACCGAAGAUAAGGAAGAGGAGAAUGAAGAGGCUCCCAGCAAGAUCUCUCGCCCACUGAGGCAUCUUAGCCGUCAAAGCUGCAAACAAAAUAUCAAAGAAGAUUGUCCAAAAAAAUUGCUUUCAUUUACAAAGACUGGCACGAGAUGCUACCACUUGCACUUCAUGAGUAUUGUCCGGUAGUACACACUUCAACAGGGGCAACCCCCUCCUUCCCUCAAGUAUAUAACUUAAAGGUCGUGCUUCCUAUGGAGGUCGAAGUCCCAUCAAUAGGAGUUCUGCUGGAGUCCCAACUUGAUCGAACUAAAAUGUGUGACGACCUUGUGCAUCUAUAUCAAAAAGAGGUUUGAAACAAACUUCCAACAAGAAGGUUUGUCCCCGUGAAACUCAAGAAAGAGACUUUGUGCUCAAAAAGAUACUAUCUUUCCAACCAGACUCCAGGAGCAAGUGGACGCCUAACUAUGAAGGCUCAUGUGCAAUGAAUUUUACAACUAUGGAUGGUGACAAACUUGCACUUCCUAUGAAUGUCGGUGUAGUCAAGAAAUACUCUGUCAAAUAUAAAAGCUCGAUAAGUCGCAAACCUGAAAAGGCGGCUUAGGCAAAAAUGAGCGUCUCGGUGGACUGAAAACCCAAAAGGGUGGUCCAGGCAAAAGUUAGAGACAUGAACAAAAAAGAUUAUCCUGAUAGACCGCAAACCCGAAAAAACGAUCUAUGCAAAAGUUAAGGAUCAAAAGACAAAGUAACUGCAUCCGGUCAGGCACAGUCCACUUGGGGCAUCCAGCUAUCAAAAGACCGCCGAUACGAAGCAUCUGCAGAUCAAAGACUCGAAACAGGGGCAUUCAAAGUUGUUAGGGAGAAUAGCUGUUAUUGUUUUCAAUGUACCAUCCCAUACAUUUACCAUUUUCCAAAUCUUUCAAAGAUCCGUGGAGCCAUGCCAUUGGUAGGUCACCACUCAAUUCAUCAAAUUUGAUCCUAUGCCUAUUUGUUUGGAACUCUCAUUUAUUCUAUUUGCAAAAUUUCUUCUACUUUUUAUGGCAAUACUUAAAGCAAAAAUUUUCAAAAAAAAAAAUACAAAAACUUUUUUUUACAUCUUUUGAAAAGUGUGAACAACAAACACACUCUCUUUGAACUCAUGAGUAGAUGAAGCAUACAUCAACAUCCGCCUCGAAGACGGUUACAUUCCGAAAGAGAAACAUGGCUAAGCGUUAUGGAAAGAACCUCUGCCUUGAACAAGAUGUUGUCACAGUCAAAAAAAAUAUAUACAAAAAAAAAAAUACAAAAAAAUCAAAGCUCGCUAAGUUGAAAACCUGAAAAGGUGGCUUAAGCAAUAGAGAGCGUCCCGGUGGACUGAAAACCCGAAAGGGCGGUCCAGGAAAAAAUUAGGGGCACAAAAAAGAAUAUAAUCCCGGUGGACUGAAAAUCUGAAAGGACGGUCCAGGCAAAAGUUAGAGAUUUUUUUUUAAAAAAAUGACUGCUGAAACAUACCAAUGGAGGAACACUCUGUGCCAGUUCACAAAUGGCGACUUCUUCCAGACUUUUUAUCAACGAUGGGCUUUACCCCCAGGAGGCAUCAGUUGCUCCUUGUGUCGGGUCUUACACCGUCAACGGCUCGUUUUGUUCACAAUAAUAUCAUCUCCAAUGAAGUUUGCCGAGUGCUUGUGCUGCGAUAUCAGUUCGCCUCCAAUCUUACAUGUCCUGUCUCGUUUCAUCGAGUCACUUGUCACAUAGAGUUUAUAUAGUCAUGCAAGUUGUACAUUCAUAACAUUUGUACAUUCAUAAAAUUCGUACAUUCAUACAUUGAUGCAUACACCAUAUAUAUAUACAACAUCAUUCACACAUGAUUGCAUUAGUCACCGAGAGUCUUGUUUAGCCGUGUCUCUUUGGUUAAUCCUGACCCAAACAGCAAGUGGCAGUUUCUUCAUAUGAACAGCUUGCAAUUACAAAUUCUUUUCCUCUCAAAAGUGUCAUCCCCAAUAUAACUGACCAAGUUGUCUUCUCUAAAUUUACCUUUGUUAAGCUAUCUUUGUGUGAUAUUUAGGUAAAACUUGUCAAUCGUCUUUAUUAAGUUAUCAUUUCAUCGAUAGUUAGACGAUGUUUUUCUCUCAUUCUUACCUUUGUUAAGCUAUCUCAUCGAUAGUUAGGUAAAAGUUAUCAGUCGUCUUUUUAAAGCUAUCAUUUCAUCGAUAGUUAGACGAUGUUUUUCUCUCAUUCUUACCUUUUUUAAGCUAUCUCAUCGAUAGUUAGGUAAAAGUAUCAUUUGUCUUUGUUAAGCUAUCAUUUCAUCGGUAGUUAGACGAUGGUUUUUCUUUCAUUCUUACCUUUGUUAAGCUAUCUCAUCGAUAGUUAGGUAAAAGUAUCAUUUGUCUUUGUUAAGCUAUCAUUUCAACGGUAGUUAGACGGUGGUUUUUCUCUCAUUCUUACCUUUGUUAAGCUAUCUCGUCGAUAGUUAGGUAAAAGUAUCAUUUGUCUUUGUUAAGCUAUCAUUUCAACGGUAGUUAGACGGUGGUUUUUCUCUCAUUCUUACCUUUGUUAAACUAUCUCAUCGAUAGUUAGGUAAAAGUAUCAUUUGUCUUUGUUAAGCUAUCAUUUCAACGGUAGUUAGACGGUGGUUUUUCUCUCAUUCUUACCUUUGUUAAGCUAUCUCAUCGAUAGUUAGGUAAAAGUAUCAUUUGUCUUUGUUAAGCUAUCAUUUCAACGGUAGUUAGACGAUGGUUUUUCUCUCAUUCUUACCUUUGUUAAGCUAUCUCAUCGAUAGUUAGGUAAAAGUAUCAUUUGUCUUUGUUAAGCUAUCAUUUCAACGAUAGUUAGACGAUGGUUUUUCUCUCAUUCUUACCUUUGUUAAGAUAUCUCAUCGAUAGUUAGGUAAAAGUAUCAUUUGUCUUUGUUAAGCUAUCAUUUCAACGAUAGUUAGACGAUGGUUUUUCUCUCAUUCUUACGUUUGUUAAGCUAUCUCGUCGAUAGUUAGGUAAAAAUAUCAAUCGUCUCUGUUAACCUAUCAAUACGAUAGUAGACAAUAAUUUUCCCCAGUGAAACUUCAUUCCCCUAGCAGAGUCGGACCCCUUUUUUCUUCAACGAAUUCGGGUAUCCCGUUGUUAUUUCUCAUUCGAGUCAAAUCAUCCUGCAUUCAUAAAUUGCAUCACAUGCAUCCAUAGCAUCUUAGGUCAAAUAUUGUGUACUUUGUAUUUAAGUCUCUUCGACUCGUCAAAUCAAAGAUUUCAUCUUCAAAUCUCCGGACGAAGAAACUUAAAUAGGGGCAUCUGUCAUACCCCAAUUUUUGACCUAAGGCCUCACGGACACAUGUCACUUGACUCUGAUCGAUCUCUGAUUUUUCAGUGAAAAAAUUCGGCAGGGAGGUAUUUUAAAAUACCUCAUUUUUGAUUCCGAGUCGGACCCUCUUUUCUCUUUUUAUUUUCUUUCCAUCUUUUAUUAAUUUUAAUUUUAAGAUUAGUUACUUUUUUUAUAUUUAAUAAUUUUUAUUUUUCAUCUUUUAAUUUUAUUUUUCUUUACAUAAUUUAGUUUAAUUUGUUUUUAUUUUAUUUCGUAUUAGAUUUAUUUUUAUUUUAUUUUUAUUUUUCUUUUUAAUUAAUUAGUGUCCAAAAAAAAAAACAAAGUGUCAAUAGGUCCAAAAUAAAAUGUACAAGGUCUAAAAAAAUUCAAGUCAAGUGUCAACUUUAACAUUCCUUUUUCAAAAUUCACCAUAAUUGUCCAUCAUUUCCAUUAAAUCAAUUUUCCAUUUUUCAUCAACCUCCUCACCUAUAAAUAGAGCCCUCAUUCCACACAAUUUCACACACCAAAAGUUCUCUUGAGUUGUCAAAGAACUUUUCUCUCUUCUCCCUCUUUAGCUUGUGUUGACGAGCUAUUCUUUUCUUCUCCCUCUUUUUUCUGUCCCUUCGGAAUAAGUCCCUUCGGUAAUUUUUGUCCAUUCGGUUGUCAAUUUCUUUUAUUUUCUUGAAUUUUAUUUCUUUUUAGUAUUUUUGCAUUUUUUUUUAUUUCUAUUUAGCAUUUUAAUUAUUUUUAUUUAUUUUCCAGCAAUUAGAAUGUAUUUAGGUCCAAUGUAAAUAUAAAUGAGAAAAGUGUGUGGGUGUGUGUGUCCUUUUAUUUCUUUACCGCCUUAUAUAUAUCCAAAAAUGCAAAAAAAAAAAAAUUAGAUUAGGGAUUUUGUGGUGAUCCAACGUCACUACAAAAAUCCACGCGCAUUUAUUUUUAUUGCUCCGUUAGUUUAAUUUUUAUUUAAUAUUCCAAAAAAACAACAAGAAAACAUGCAAAUAAUCAAAAUCACAAAAAUAUUUUCAUAAUAAACCUUGAUCCAAAUCAAGUGACCGCAUUUUUAUUUUCUUUUCUCCAUCAAACUUCAAUCAAUUUAACUUUACUUUUAAGUCUCUUUUUUCAAUAUUAAAAAACACAAACAAAUACUCAUUUGCCACUUGGCUUUUCAUUUUAAAACCUUUUUCAAAACUAAUAAAAAACACUCAACAAAUCAAACGUCAAUUUCUACCCCGAACUACGAGGUUUUGAUCCCUCACGGGUACGUAGGCAGAGGACCAUGUCCUUCCAAAUCAAUAAAAAAUGUAGAUAAUUAGGUCUUUAUUUUUAUCAGUUUAAUUCAUUCUUUUCAAAAAUAAUAAGCAAGUUAUAGCAUAUUAAUUAAAUAAAAUCAAGAGGUUCUCGUAGAGUACUACGAAUAUUUAGGGUGCUAAUACCUUCCCUAAAUAUAACCAACCCCUGUCAUACCCCAAUUUUGGACCGUUUAAAAACUCUUGUCCGUAUUUUAAAUUUGUUCACAUUCCCAUUUAUUCGUUGUUUUUUACCAUUUAAAGUUCGUAUUUCUUGUCUUUAGUCAUUCAAAAAAGUUUUUUUACGUUAAAUCAACGUUCGCGUUUCACAACGUUUAAAACCGUCUCACUUUCAUUUUUACGUCGCAUAGUCUUUUUUUUAAUCGUAACGAUCACGUCAAAAAAAGAGAAGGCCUAAUCGCUUUUUUUAAAAGGCGUUUUUUCUUAUUAAUCAUUUCAAUCGAAAUUUCGGCAGGGAGGAUACUUUGAAAUACCUCAUGUCAGAUUCCGAAGGGACUUUUUAUUUUUAUUUUUUUGUCUUUUUUAGUUUGUUUAUUAUUAUUUUAUUUUAUUAUUAUUAUUUUUUUUAUAAAAAAAAACAAAACAAAGAAAAGAAGAAGACAUACGUCUUCCCUUUCUUCUUUUUCUUUUUCUUUUCUUUUUCUUUUUAUUCAUUCUUUUUAUUUUUAUUUAUUUAUUUGUUAAGCCUUUGUCCCCAAGUCUCAGCUGCAGGGGCAUUUUGGUCAUUUGUUUGUACCAGAGCCAACCCUAAUUUGUCACUAUAAAAGCCUGUCAAUCAUUGGGAAAUGGGCCAGAGAAAAAAUUACUGUUCAUGAGUCAGAGAAAAACACUAUUCACGUCAGAAAAAGUCAGUCAACAGCAAUCAUACUCACAAACAAUCUCCAAACUUCUCUCUCCAAAAUUUUGGAUCAAAAACCCAAAAUUUCAUGAACUCACAUGAACCACAUCAAGAACACAUGAACCUCAAUCAUUUUCAGAAACACACAAUAACAACAUAAACACCUCAAACCAUUCAUACAACCACAAAUCAUCAUCAUUCCAAACAAAACAAAUCCGAACCAAAACAGAGCCAAACGAACCGGAGUAGAGGAGAGCCAACCGAACCGGAAAAGAACCGGAGCCGAACCGGAAACAAGGAAGAACACGCGAACCGGAAGAAGGAAGAAAAGGAGAGAACCGGACUCAAACUAGGAGGAAAGGAAACCGGAAAAAGAGGUAAAAAUUUCACGUUUUUCAUUUGUAGAUCUAGGAUUUUUGGUGUAUGUUUUCGAAAUUUUGAGCUUGGAUUUGUGUAGAGGAAGGGAAGAGGAGUAUUUUGAUGUAAAAAAAAAUUUCAAAAAAAGCAAAAAAAACUCCGGCGCGGCGGCGCUCCGGCCGACCGCCGCGCCGGAGCAGCUCCGGCCGCCCCUCUUCUUCUUCUCCGGCCGCGUGUGUUUUUGUGGGAGGGGAGAGCUUCUCUCUCUAAGUUGUAACUUAGAGAGAGAAAGUUUUUGUGUUAUAUUUGUUUUUUUGGUAAAACCCCUUUAUAUAGCCUCAUUACUUUAUUUUAAUUCCAUGCGUAUCGUUCCACUGUAUUAUCGUGUAUGAUCACAGCUAGACCGUCAGAUUGUAGAUCUAACGGUCGAUGAUGCAGCUUGUUUUUGGUUAAGUGUUUGUUCUUUUGGGUGGAAUAUUGUGUGCCUGCUGUUGAACCGUCAGAUCGUUGAUCUGACGGUCACUGUGCUUCCAGUAUAUCCUUCCUUUCUUGCUGUUUAUUUUUAAACCGUUGGAUCUUAGAUCCAAUGGCUAUGAUGAAUCCAGGGGUUUGAACUUGGACCAUUGAUUUAAUCCAAUGGUUCAGAAUUAAUCCUGCUGAGCCAAUUUGUUUAUUAUUUUCAUUUGUUAUUGUUUCUAUUUUUUAAAUGCUGUUUUUUUUUAUUUCUUUUUGACAUUUUAUGUUUAGAAAAAAAUUCCAAAAAAAUGUUUUUUUCUCACUAUUUUAAUUUUCUAUCAUUGUUAAAAAUCCAUCCUAUUUUUUUCUUUUAAUUUGUUUUUUUUUACUUAUUAUUUAUUAUUUCUUAUAUGAUGAUCUUAAAUGUUUUUUUUUAUUAUUUUUAUUUCUUGCUUAUUAUUUCUUAUGUCUCAUUCAUCAUAAUAUUUCUUGUGAUCACUAACCAUUUAAUUUUUGUCUUAGAUCAUAGCAUGCAUAUUAAAUUUUCUCAUCAUUUUAUCUUGUCAUUGGAUUAGUAUGUAUAAAUAGGGAAUUGAUGUAAUUUUAUUUCUUGCAUUUUAUUUUGGCAUAAAGGCCUUAGGGUUGUAUUUAGGAAUUGAUGUAAUAAUGUAGGUAACACAAGCACCGACACAUACACCGACACUACCACAUUUUAUUUACCGCUUUCCGUUAUUUUUUUUUUACGACGUUACGUUAGUUCUCACUGUUAGUUUAGAAAAAAUCAUUUUCACAAAAAAAUCAAAUAUGUCAAAUUCAAAAAUAUUUUUUCUUAGCAACAUUUUCCCUUUAUUUUCUUAAUCAAAUUUUUAAUCAAUUUUAAUUCAACUUCAAUCAUUUUCAAAAAUUUAAAAUCAAUCAACCUCACUCAUUUCUUUUAUCUCAUGCCUUGAGGCCUCUUUCUCUUCUUAAAACCAUUUUCAAAAAUCUUAAAAUCAACCUAACCCACCAAAGAAAUUUUUGAGUGGAACUACGUCGGUUUUGAUCCCUUUCUCAAAAGGGUACGUAGGCAGAGGACUCGUCCUUCCAAAUCAAAUAAAAAUAAACCAAAAACAUACUUCUUCUCCCUCCAUUCUUUCACUUAGACAUUAGGCAAUAAUUUUUCAAAUGAACAAGUAUUUUAGCACAAGAUAAUCUAGGUAAGAGGUUCCUACGGAAUACCGUAGAUGCUUAGGAUGCUAGCACCUUCCCUUCGCAUAACCAACCCCCGAAUCCAAAGUCUCGAAAAGGGUUUUUACUCAUUUUUUCCCUUCCCAAGAAUAAAAAUCGAGAGUUCAAAGAUUGACGAUUCAAAUCAAUUAAUGGUUUGAUAUCCAAAAAUCGCGAGCACAGAAAUGGCGACUUACCCCCGAACCCUAAAUCUCUCAAUAUGGGGUGUUUUGAACUUUUUUCACCUUUUUCUUAAAAAAUAAAAUGUUCAGUCGUGAAAUAAUUAGCGAGUCAAAAAUCUAAUCAAAUAGCCUUGAUCUCUGAAAAAUGACGCGACACGUAUUAAUCAAAACUUUGUAGCAGAAUUAAUUCAACGACAAUAAAAGCUCUAACAACAUGUUUCAAAAUUGAUACAUAAAGGAAUGAUAAACAUCGUAACAAUUUCCCAUCCUGUUACGUAUCAGAGCCCUAAGACACUUGAGCCACCUCUCCUACUAAGCUUCAUUACCUGCAAGUUACCCAUACGAAGGGCAACAUUUUCAAGCAGAAGGGGUGAGAUCUCUCAAACAAUAAUAAUAAGCAUAUAAUUCAUCAAUUACAGUUAACAACAUAGACAUCAUCAAAUCCACCCAAUAAUAAUUUUUCUUAACAUCCCCUUAGUACUCAUGAAUAGAAGACAACUUAGCCACUAUGCAUCAACGUUAUCAAUUCAUAACAAUAAUUAUUCAUCAACCAUCUCAUUAGCAAAACAUGAAUAAGGAACAACUUAUCAACUUAACAUAAUCAUCAUUAAGUACAUUUAACAACUCAUAGAUAACAUCAUGUAACAUCAAAACAGCCUCUCAUUCAACACUAUAAACAAUCAUCAUAACAUCGUCAUAAUCAUCAACAUAAACAACGUAAGAGUACACCACCUCUUAUAAACAACAACGUAAGAGUACACCAUCUCUUAUAAAACGACCAAGUAAGAGUACACCACCUCUUAUAAAAAAAACGACAAAGUAAGAGUACACCACCUCUUAUAAAACGACCAAGUAAGAGUACACCACCUCUUAUAAAAAAAAACGACAAAGUAAGAGUACACCACUUCUUAUAAAACGACCAAGUAAGAGUAGUACACCACCUCUUAUAAACAACAAUGUAAGAGUACACCACCUCUUAUAAACAACAAUGUAAGAGUACACCACCUCUUAUAAAACACCUGACAUAAACAAUCACCAACGAUGGCUACAACUACGACAUCAACAACAACACCAACGAUGAUGACAACAUCGACAAUUUGCAUAACAUACUUAUGACUUAUUCGGCAACGUACAACCCAACAACGCUUACAACUUAUACCAACAUUAGAUCUUCAUGAUAUUAAUAUGUCACAACCGCAAGACAACACCAUUAAAUAAUAUGCAGCAAGUCAACAUUAAUAAUAAUCAUCAUAUAUAACAAUUACAAUUUCAUAUCAACGUCUUUCACAAUAUAUAAAUAUUUUCACAUUUAAUCAUCAAAGUAAAUCAUCAUUAUUAAUCAUCUUGUUCAUCCUCUCUGAACCUCAUUAUAAUCAUUAACAACUUCAUUCCAACCCCAAGGGUCGACUCACAACAUAAGUUACAUACUCUUAAACACCCUAAUUGAACUCAUAGUACUUCUAGUUUUGAGCUUUGGAAUUAUCCCAUAAGUUUUGGAUUAACUUAGAAACGGUUAUACUGAAUUUUCAUAAGAUUUCACUAAGACCUCCUUGGAGUAUUUUCAUCAUAUCUCAAAAACAAAAAAUCAUUUUCAAGUGAAACCAAAGCCAUUGGAAAGCUAACAAAAUUAUCUACAACUUUCAUGUUUACACCAAAGGUCAACUCAAAACAGAAACGUGUGAAAAAGACGGAAGAACAUGAAACAGGGUAAGCAUCAGACAUACUGAAAUUUACAGAUUUUCUGUCAAAAUCGCCUCACGAUCACUGGGAUCGCCUCACGAUUUUGACAGCAUCAUACAUGCUGAUAUUACAGAUUUUUCUGCGAUUUUCUACCAUGGGAGCCUCCUUGACUCCGUUUUUUAACCCUAAACUCUCCAAAAUCAUCCAUAAUCAUCACCAUAUGAUUACCCUAUCAUUGAAACGUUAAUCCAUCACUAACCUACCCGAUUAACCACUCUUUUCACCGUUCCAUUAUAUGGUUUCUACACUUUUCAUUCAAAAGUCAAUAAUCAAAACCUAAUCCCAAUUCUCAAAUUUAACCACAACCCCUUGCUAAAUCAAAAUCAGAAUUAUACAAACUAUAAUCAUUGAGAGUUAGCCUCACCCUUACCUUAGAUUGAUGAACAAAGCUCUACACGAUCUUCUCUUGGAUACUAUUGGCUCCCUCUUGGUUUUUCUCCCAAAAAGCUGCUUCCACGUGAAAAUGUUUUCUGACUUCCCUCUUUUCUUUUCUAAACCUAAUUCAACUUCUUCUAUUUCCGCUUAAUCCCACACAACUCUCCUUAUUUCUAAAUCAGCCCCUUGAACUCCAAAUAUUCUAAAUUCCCACUUAUUCUAUUAAAUAGUAAAAUAACACAUUUAAUAAAAUAUAACACACCACAUAAUCAACAAUAAUUAUUUAAAAUCAUAUAUAAAAAGACUUUAAAUCAACCAAUAAUAAUUAAAUAAAAUUGGGUCGUUACAGGAAUCCCAUAACUUCGUGACGUCGACAUUCUUUACACUUAAUUAUCAAUCAAUCAACACAUUAGAUGUCUUCUCUUAAAGUAUGAUUAAAGAAAACCAACCAAAAAAGACAAAUGGACUUCCUAAUGAGGGAAUAUAAGUUGCAUGAGGAUGGAAAUCCUUAUGAUGGAAAUCAGUGAUCAAGUCUAACGCUGACUUAGUUAUUCUUAUACUAUUAAAAUAAGUAUACAGUUACAAUGAAAAAAGAUAAAAUAUAAUGACUAAAAAAUACAUGAAAUUAACAUAUUUGUAAUAUAAAACUAUUAAUAGGGCAUGAUAUUUAACAAUAAGGAAAAAUCAAUCCUUCAACUUCCGGAUAAACUUAAGUUGUUUUCUUUUUGGUGGUUGAAGGCAAAUUUAUAUGCUAAUUUUAUUUUAGGUUAUCAUAGUUGAUGGAUUUUCUCUUUUGUUUGCUUGGGUAAUGGUUAAUUUCUUUAUGUUUUGUUUUGAUAGGAAAAUGUUUGUUUUGGUAGUAAUAUGUUUUAUUUUUCCUUGUUUAAAAAGAGAUAUAGUAUGAAAUAUAAAUAAUUAGUGAUAAAAUAUAAUAUUUUGGUUCGAUUUACAGGUGAUUUGUUUUAAAUGAUCUGAAAACGAUAUUCAAACAAUAGUGAUCAAAUUUGAUUAGUGUGUGUGAUUCAGGUUAUACAUACAUGAGCAUAAAAAACACCAAUUUAGUUUAUUUGCAUUGAAUGUUUGCAUUCUACGAGUUAUUGGUUUGAUUCUUACACCUCAUCAUAAACAAUAUAGCAUAUAAUAUUUAUUUAUUUUCCUCUUUGUAUUAAAGGGUAUACAAAACAUUUUUCAAAUGAGAUAACAAGAUUUUAGUUUUCAAAUGAAUGGUUGAUUCCAUAUUUAGAGAAGGGGCUAGUUGUUGCCCAUGUAAUUAAUAACACAAGGAAGUGAGAAGAAUUCACAGAACACUUGGAUAGGUCAUUUUCUUUCCAAAAAAAAAAAAAACUAGGAUAGGACGUUUGGUGCCCCCAUUCAAUUAAUUCAUUUCACACCGACACUUUGACAAUAUAUAUGCAUUCGAUUUUUUAUUUUAUUUUUUAUGAUUAAAAUCGACAUUGUUUUUUGGUGAGAUUUGCAAGUGGCACGCCACGUAAUUGUACAAGUUCCACAUGCAUUUGACUUUAGCAAACAUUAUCAAUCUUAGAUUAGAUCACGUGUUUGUUCUCAUUAGUUUGAUACUCCAUAAUUUAGAAUAUGUUUUUGUGGUGCAGUAUCUGUUUAGGAGGAAAUGAAUUAAGUGAAAAUCUCUCUUUAAGAUGUAAUAAUAAUUGAGAAAAACUGAAAUUGUUUCAAUUGAGAUUCAUUUCUCCAUUAUGAUGGUUGUAACUUGUAAUUUUUUUUUUUUUUUUGGGUAAAAUAUGUUUUUAAUUCAUAUAAAAAUACGAGAUUUCAAUUUUAGUCCUGCAUAAUUUUAAUAGUAAUUUUAAUCCGUACCGAAAUGAUUGUUAAGAUAAUUGGUCCUUCAUGUCAAAUGGGUUGCUAAUUGAGCUAAACGAAUCAUGACUAGAUACGCCAUGCAAUCAUUUUGAUUGACGUAAGUUGCUGACUCUUGGUUGUAAGAAAAACAUCAAAGGAGGUUGAAUUGUGUAGUAUUUCUUAGAAAUUUUAAGUUAAAAACCAUUCAUAGAAUUUUUACCAAAAAAAAAUCAAUCAUAGAAUGCAAAAGAUAAUCAGAGAUAAGAGAAAAGAAUGACACAUAUUUUCCCCGGUUCAUCCCACAAUUUGGGAUUACGUUAUGUCCCCUCACACAACAGAGAUUUUUUUUUCUCUCACUAUAAUCACAUAAGAUUACAAUUACUUGGACACACAAAUCUAAGAUUUCAUGUCUUACCUUGAGGACUUCUAAAUUUAGAAUUUACAAAUAAGAUUGAUAGUUAUUUACACUUUAGACUCAAAGAGCGGUGAAUGUGCCUUUUUUUUUUACAUUUUAUAUAUUCAAAAAAUCAGUUAGUUCGUUCGACUCACAAAUACAUAUCAACUAAACUCUCUUGUAAGGACUUGAAUCGAGUCCUAGAUUGCUCUUCAAGUCCAUUUGUUUGUGUUUUUGUACGAACAAUGGGGAUUUACCGCAAAAUCAGGGAGUGUUACUCAUUUGUGGUUGGUCGUACACUCCUUCUUCUGCACCUUCUUUAAUAUGCAUGGGAGGGGGUGCUUGCGUAAGAUACUUUGAUGCUCAAGUCAGACGAGGUACAAACCAAGAGCAUACAUGCAUUGUAUAUGAGUAUGAGUGUGAUAAAAUUGGAAUGAUAUGAAGUUCAUCGUACCAAGGGCAGGUGCCCCCUAUUUAUAAUGGUUGAUAUGAUGAUAGACUCCUUGUUGGUUGCAAUCUAAUUUCCUUAUCUUCAAGAUGGUUUGUUACGAGGCUAAUUUGGAUAUCAUAGUAACGAACCUCCCAGAAUCUUGUAAUUACGAGUGACACAUGUAUAUCCGAGUGUAACAUAAUCCGAGGUAGAUGUGCUCAUCUAUGCAGUUUAGAUAAGGUACGAAUAUAUAGGAUCGAUCUCGUAGCUAACUAAAUGUUUUUUAUUCUUAGAGGAGCUAAAGCGUGUAUAGGCGCUUAUGUCGGUCUAUCAAGUGGCUCUUUUUUAUCUCGUGGAAGUGUUGAUGUGUAUCAGACAUCAUUCCGAGGUGUUAGUUAUGACAAGGUGGUAUGAGAGAUUAAGUCAUAUUUUAUGCCACAUGUCACAUUUAGGUGGUAAUCUUGAUAUUCUUUGACUUGGUCCAUUUGUUAGAUCUUCCUAUGUUAUUCUUGAAGAGCUAAUUUGCUUGGACUCCUUAACGAAUGACUAGCCUGGCCUAAUUUGCUUGGAUUCCUUAAUGAAUGACUGGCUUGGACCUUUUAGGCCCAUACUGGUACAUUAUCCCCCUAGCCCUUGGUCAUGCAGUGGACAAUUGGUCUAAGAGUAUUGAAGUGAAAAUUUUUGAAUUUUAUCCGAUGUAGAUAUAUUUGAUUUUUUUGAUGAUACGAUUUUAGUUUAAACCCGAUUUAGAACUCGAUUUACAGAUGGUAUACCCCAUGACUUGCAACUUAGAGGUGAGGUGAAAGUCUAAAGGAUUUUUCAUAUGAUACUCAAUGGUUUUCUUUGCCUCAUUUCUUGAGCAUUAUGACGUGUAUUCGAAGCACGACGUGACAAUGAGACAAUUGCUUUUUUAUGGGUGCAAUUUGAUAUGUUAGAUUUGUUAAUGGAAAGUUGUAUCGUUUGAUCGUACUUGAUGAAACAUUUCCAAUCAUUGAUGAACGGUUCCAUCCAAUUUGAAUACUUGCUACUUUCUCCCCCACCACCACCACAACUUGAUUUAAGUCAUGAAGUGCUUUUGCGACUCAUAUUUCCUUAUGUUUCAAAUUUUUCAUUCAUCCCUCCAGCUGAGCUCCGUUCUUGCUUUCUCUUUAUGUUUAAACAAUGUUUGUACAAAAGCGCUUUGAUUGAUGCACUCUUCUUUGAGAAUUGGAAUGAAUUUUUGUCUGAUCCUAAUGGGUGGCACCGUUAGAGUGUUUAAGGAGAGGUUACUGUUUUUUUUUUUUUUUUGCUAAUUAGUUAUCAACAAAAAAAUUCACAUACCCUAGAUUCUUAAAACUCAUUCAACAUAUCAUUUUAUCUAUAUGUGUAUCAUCAUAUCAUUUCAUUAAUCUAUCACAUCACUCUCAAUUGUCUCUUUCACUCUUUUGGGAUGUACGUCAACUAUUAGAGUGUCCAUCAAACAUUAUUGCUUACUUAUUUGUAUAUGGAUACUCCUUUCAUAAUAAUAAUAAUAAUUAAUAAUAAUAAAGACUUUUUUCAUCAUGUGCAAAAUUGCACAUAUUAAAAUAUUUAAAAUAGAAAUUUUGUAUUGAAACUUAUACGUUUAAUAUUAAAUAUAAUUUUUUGAAUAAUAAUAUACGUUGCUCUAAAAAAGAAUGCGAAAGCAUAAAUAAAUAAAAAAACUCAAAUGGAAACAUCAACGGGUCCCAUUAAGCUCCUUAUAAUAAACGGUAGUUUUGAUGGGAUCCGAACAACCAUUAAUGCAUGCAUAUAUAUGUAGGAGUAUAUGGUAAUUGAAUGAACUUAAAAAAUCAAUUUUACUUAUAUUUAAAAAUGAAGGGAGUACCUUCAAACAUUUUAAUGCGCCUACUUAAAUCACAAGCUUGUGUUACCAAACUCGACAGUAUAUGGUAAUUCUUGCCUAUCAAAAAGGUGUGUAUAGUUCAUGCUAAGUUGGUAUCAACGGAAAUCAUUUGAAACUUUAGAGACAUUGUUUUAAAACCCACUCUGAUUCAUCAAUUCAUACUUUUUUAAUUUAAAGUAUCAUAUGUUUAUUUAAAAAAAAAAUCAUGAAAUAAAAAAAAAAAAAAAACAUAAUUCUCGAAUCCCUAAUUCCCAAUUUCUUCUACCUAAUUCCAUGAACAAUAUGAGAGUAUCACAGCACAUAUAUGAGUUUGAUUAAUUUUUCACAAUACUGGGUGUGAGGAAUUUUUCAAGCACUACCGACAAAAGAAAUAGAGAUCACUUCGUCGUUACUUUGCACAACAAUGUCUUAAUCAUUCUAGCAAAACACUCUUCAUCGCUCUCCGAUGCUACACCAACACCAUUGUGAAGGUCAAAAAAAAUUCCAAAACCCAAAUUCUACAAUUAAAAUCAUAAGAGAAUCAUUUUCUACCAAAAUCAUAACUGCUUCCAAUAACUUGAAAUUAAUCUCUAAAGCUUGAGCAUGAUGACACAAAUGGUUCAUCGUCGAGAAUAAGCUUUUAUAAUAUAACGAAACAGUUAGAAAUCUCUCUCUCUCUCUCUCUCUCUCUCUCUCUCUCUCUCAAAUUUCGGCAUGUUCAUGGAAAAGUGAUGUUUGUCAUUAGAAAGUGUACUAAAUUGUCGUUAAGUAGUAAAAUUUAUAAGUUAGUAUCGAUGUAGAUUGUGAAAUCUCAAUUUAACUACUACAAUAAUAGUUUGGAUAUAUACAAUUGGGGGGUGUUUCACUUGGCAAUGGUUGGAUUAACUGUUCUUUAAAGAAAUAGGUAAGACACUGAUUAGGUCAUGAUAGAUCUGCUUCUCUUAAUUACAUAGAAACUCACCCCCUUGAUUGCAAUUGUUCCAAUAGUUUAGUUUCACGACAUUUGAUCAAAAUAGUUAAGUUAAUUUCUAGAUCACUAAUCUUUUUCUCUUGUUACGACCCCCUAAUGUCUUAUAUGAAACUAUAUCAAUUGAAGGCUUGAUUGUAUGCCAAAUUAUUAUCACAAAGCAGUUAGCUCAAGCCCCAAAGCUAAGGUUAAUGGUCAUCGAGACCAAAAUCAGUUUAUAAACAUUCAUAAUCGGAUAAAAAAGCAUUAAAAACAAUUAUAACUGAAAGCCAAAGAGAAAGACACAUAAGCAUCCAGACAAGCCCCCCACACAGCAACUACCGGCUCAAGUAGAGAAUUGCUUCCACCACUCACUCAUAGUGAGAGCAAGGCGAACCAAGGUGGGACUUAUAAAAAAAAAGAACCAAUAACACAAAGAGAACUGGGUCUUCAGAACCAAUUCCUCCACAUCUAAAAUCUUACCGACAAACACAAAAUCAUUAAUGUAACAUGUGUCACAUUGCGUGAAUUUUGUAAAUUUUAAAUACUAAUUUUGCUUUCUACUCAUAAAAAUUGUGAACUUUAACCGAAAAAUUAUGAUAUAUUAAAAAUAUGUAUUAAGAACAGGGCCGACCCAAGCUAUAGGCAAACCAGGCAUUUGCUUAAGGCCUUGAUUUUUUAUUUUUUUUUUACCUAUUAUGCAUGGUACUUUUUUUUUUUUAGCGAAUCUCAUAUUUAUUUAUGGAAAUAAAAAAUUUAAGAGAAAUAAUACAAGUUGUCGAAUGAUAUAGCAAUUGAUUUGCUUAAUUUUAUAGAAAGACUUGGUUUUUUUCCAGAUGUGUAUAUUGGUUAUAGAAUAUAAUGUUAACAAUUCAUAUAAUUGUUGUGUCUGCAAAUUUGAAUUUGUUUUAUUGUUGAUUCAAAAAGAAAUGUUAAACUAAACCGAUUAUAAUAAUUUUGCAUCCAAAAAAAUAGAAAUCACUUUGAAUAAAAAUAUAAUUUUUGUAAAAUAAAUAUAUAAUUAAUAAUUUCUUUUUUGUACAAACUAGUAAUAACUUAAAAUGCUUCAAUUUAGAUUUCGCGUUGAGCAUCAAUAUGUGUUGGAACGGUCCUGAUUAAAAAAGUUUUAUGCUAUGUAUUUUUUUUACCAGUGAAUUAUAGAAAUCUCAUCCAUAAAUUUAAAAAGAGAGGUAAUAAGACAAGAUAACACAUUCAUCAUUUUUUGGAAAAGCUUAUCAUCAUUACAAAUACAUAGUCUGAUGCAAAUUUAUACAUGAUUUCUCCCGAAGAAAUAUCUAUCUAUACUAUAUAGUGGCAAGAUAGAUAAAUACACCAUUAUAUCAACACACAACAUUAUUUUUAUUCAUGAAAUAUAUUACUGAGAAAGAGUGCAUGGUGCAUGAAGAUAGAUAUCAUUAUGAUCAGUUUUGAGUUUUGUCCUCAGUUUGCUCGGCACCGUGACUACCGUGUCCACCUCCACCAUGGUUGUAACCACCUCAACCGUGGUGGUAACUACCUCGUCCAUGGUUGUAACUAGCUCCACCUUUGUUGAAACUACCACCUCCACCACCAUUUCUGGCAUCAUUUACUUCAUUAGUCUUUUCCUCAGUUUGCACGGCAACAGAUUCAGCAGCACCGCGACCACCAUGACCUCCUCCACGAUUGUAACCACCGUGACCUCCGUGGCCUCCACCACCAUUGUAACCACCUCCACC